AUCAUAUGGUUUCUCCCAUAAUAUGAAUCUUCUGAUACGUAAUAAAUACAGAAUACAGAUUCUACAUUAAGUUCUUUAAACUACUGUUUAGUUCUAGAACCUGCAGCACCACACUUCAGGAACAUGUAUGGGUUGCUCGAAAGUCAAUGAAACUCUUGAUUUAUGAUAAAUAGAUUAUAAAAACAGUACAGGUUCUUCAUGAGGUUCUCUAGUGUUGAUACCAACUAGAGCUUUUGUUCAAGUAAUUGAUACUCCUCUCUUUAUAUGGGACACAGCCAGGUGUCAAAUAAAGGUUCUCAAAGUUUUGUAAGAUACUAAGGGUUGCAGGACAAAUGUUAUGCCAAAAAAUUAUAUAGAAUUGAGAAUUGAGUGAGGCUCACAAAUCUGCUUGUACUGUUGUACCUGGUGCCAAGGGCAUGGUGUUUUAGAUUUUGGUAGGCAAGAAGACCUUCACAUGUUUCAUGCAUAAGUGACACCAGAAGAAAAACCAAAACCAUUUCAGUUUUGAGUUCUUGAAACUAUAAGAGCUCAUUAUGGAAGCAAAUGACAAGCAUCAGGAUCCGAUUACAACCAGAUGCAUGCCUUGAGGAGAUCAAACACCUUCUCCGCAAUAUACUUUUGUUGAAGAGUUGCACCCUUCUGUUGAACUUUAUCAGGAUGGAUGCACAAAGUUGACUUUCUAUAGACUUUUUUCACCGAUGCAGCAGUGAUUAGAUCAGUCAAAGAUACAGGUUACCAGCCACAUUCAGGCCAAAGUACCUGCCAUGUUUUGUAAAAUAGGAAGAUAAUUAGGAAGGUGAUAAAGAACAGGAUAUCCACAUUUGUAUGAAUAUGAAAAUCAGUUCUUCAAAAUCCAAAUGAAGCCUUAAAAUUUUAUUAGUCACUGCUUUAUCCUUUAACAACUAGGAAAAUUUAAUAGAUUAAAGUAGGCUCACAAAUAUUCUACACCCUUAUGACUGCCGUCAUAUCUAUUACUACUCAAUUGGGUGGCCCAUAUGACUGCCUACAUAUCCAUUAGGUACCAACCAUAGUUCCCUUCACACAAUGAUGUCUGUGAUUUCUCAGACUCUAUUAGCAAUGGAAAGAAGAAAAGAAUAGCUACAGUAUCGAAGCAAAUUAGUGAAGCAGCAUUUGACCAAAAGAGGCAGAUGUAUAUUGUAGAAUGGCCAACUCCAAGGUGUUUACAGGAGAUAUUAUCCAAUAUCCAUUACCAAUUAUAUCAAGCAAUACAAAAGUCAAGAACUACUACAUAAUGGAACCUUCAAGGAGAACAGUCACAAACACUAAAGCAAGAAAGUUUUAGAAGCUCAGUCGCAAAACCAUUACUAAUGCAGCAUAUCAAUCUCAAAUAUUGGCAACAAUUUCAACGACAUGAAGGAACAGUAGCUUACAUAUUGCAAUGUGUAAAGCAAGGCAUGCAAAUUGCCUUCUUUACCAGAAGCCCACUGCUUUAUACCAAUAUCUAGGGUCUCAGCAAUCCUCUGAAAUUGGCAUGGACAAUUAUUAAAGAGAUGGGAAGCAGUGUGUCUGACAUGAUGACCUUUAUAGCGAACGACAGAUAUAAUACAAUAGAAGACUUUCAGAGAGAUUUAGAUAAAGCAAAUGGUUGCUCAGACUAAAUGUAGCAUUCAGAAAGACAGAAAGCAUAAAUGUCUUUCUGCCUGCUCCUUUUGAGUUUGCAUAUCACUUUCAGUUUUAUCUGCCAAAGCUUUAGCUUGUAGAAAACAUAGACUAUUAGACCAAAAUAAAGAAUUCCUGCAGCCAUGUUAUGCAGCUCAGGUAUCAAAUAGGUCAUUUGCAGCAAAAUAGCACAAAUGAUUAUUCUCAUUUUUAUACAAUGUGAUCCAAAUAAAACAUCAUUACCGCACACUCAAGUGUCCUCUGAUGUUGUUCAAACCUAGCUCUUCUUCUUUUUUCACUCUCUCCUUCAAUUUCCUGAAAUUCUCCAGAUGAUGGAGGGCCUUUAAUGAAAAGAAAAAAAGGAAGGGGGAAGAGGGGGAAGGAGGGGGAGGGGGAAGGGAAAGGGGAAGGGGAAGGGGAAGAGGAGGGAAGGGAUUAGUGCCAAAACCAAGUACAAAAGGAGUUGCUGCAGAAGAGCAGAAAGUAGAAGAUCAAGCUGCACCAUAUAAAAUGUUACCUCCAAAAAUGGAAGCUAUGUCAUCAGCAAAAUUUGCUGCAGAUGAUGCCUUUUUAACAGCAGAGGAGUAACCUGAAGACUGUGCCCCAUGAAAACCACGUGAAAAUUUUGCUUCAGCAUUUGCCUUCUCAACAGCUGCCCUCUCAGCCCUGAGCUGAGCUUCAGCAGUAGCUCUUUCCCUUGCCUCUCUUGUAGCCCUCUCCACAGCUUGUCUAGUUCUUUCUAUUUCCCUCUCAAGUUCUUGUUCUCUCUCCUUUGCAAGUCUCUUCUGCUCCUCUCUAUACUCCCAUUCCUUCUGCUCCAGUUCCCAAUCAUCUUCCAGAUCUUCUUGAUGCAUGGGCUCUUUAAUUUUAGUAAAUUUUGCAUCACGUUCCCUUUCCCUUACCUCCUUAGCAUGCUUGAAUUUUGCUUCGGCUCUAUCCAUUGCUUCCUUCAAGGCAGCAGCAGAUGCUGCAGCAGCUGAGUUUGUCUCUGUUUCUUCUUCACCCGAAAAAAAUGUCUGAAUGUUCCUGGGGAUAUGUUUGAGGCUUGCCCAUUGCAAAAUCUUCAAGUUCAUCUAUCGGAGACACAACGGACUUCCUGAUCCACUGCGGCAGUAUUAGUAGACUGAGAGAAAGAUUCAUCAUCCUUUCUUGGCCCAGUAGAACCAAUGGUUGCUUCUUUAAUGACAAGAGAAGGUGGUGGCCUAGAAGGUGGCGAAGCAGUAGUAGGUUGAGUGAAGAGGAGGAUUUCAUCAACUGCAAGCCAUAUAUCAUCUGCUGUAUUUAGUUGUUCAUUUGACUCUGGAGACUGGUCUCCUAAGAUAUUUCUCUCAGUUGUGCCAGCACUAUUAAAACUGCACCUACCACCAGAUUUUUGAGAGUCAGAAGGUUGGCUAGUCUGCAUCUUUGGCAUGAUGUUCUCAAAGGAAUCCACCAGAGAUUGAGAAGGUGGUUGUUGUCCAUGUCCAGCGCUAAUGUUCUGUAUAUUCUUGACAGGGCUCUUGUCCCUUCUACCUUCAUUGGUUUCAGUUGUAAAGAAGGGUUCUGAUUUUAAGCCUUCAUUGAAAACAUUACUAUCACCAGGUAAUCCUCCAUUAAUGGAGUCAUCUACUUUGUGCCCUCAAAAUUCACUGGUUGACUAAUGUGUUCCAAAGGGUCAGUGAACAACCCAGACAAUGGAUUCGUGGAAGGGGACUCCGAUUCUAAAACAACAAAGGGAUCUUCUGUCAUACUGGCAGGUGGUUUAGUCAAUGAGACAGAAGGCUGUUGUUUGUUAGCCUCUGGAAACUCUCUGCAAAUAGAUUUUGCAGUUUAGAAAAAAUAAUGAUAACAAAUAGUGACAUCUAUUACAUGAAAAUGUAGACUUAAUAUGGCAGGAGAACAUGUAACAUAAAACAAGUGGAGGAUAGACUCUGCCUCCAAUCCCAUAAGUCUAUAACAUAAAUACCAUCUUGAGAUAAUCUAGAACUUUGGCACUGGAAACGAACAUAAGAUAAGAUAAGGAGAAAACUACCAUAAGAUCACCUCAUUCUAAUAAUUCAUGAGCAAUCCAAAACAUAAAGCAGUGUAUAUUACAUCUCUGAAAAAGCCAUAACCUGUACUUUGGAUAUAAAGUAGAUCCAUCAAUCCAACAUCAAUGCAAGCAUAUGCAACUACAAGUAUGACCAGCAACCAUGGUGAUAACGAAUCACUUCUUCAAAAGUAAAGACAAACUAGGUUCAAAAUUUGCUCUAGAAGAAGUAGAAAAGACUGAUGUAGGUAACUACAAGAAAAGAAGCUUCAUAAAUAACUUAAUAAAUGGUUUUAUAGGAUUUAUCGAUAAAUGUUUUAUACACUCAGACUCUCAUUUGAUCUUGGGAUAAGGAAAUACAGCAUUCUAUAGUUGUAUCUAAGGACCAUAACCAAGAGUAAUGCAUUCUUCACUACCAAUGUAUAGAAAAGUCAAAUAGUGUGGUGCAGAGGUGACAUCACUGAAUUUAUUAUUCCACAAGUAUACCUGAGUAAAACAACAAAUAAGUAAUGAACUUGGUGUAAUGCAUUUUGCUUUGCACGUAUUUCUCAGAAAAUUUUCUUUAAAGGUCCAACCAUUAAAACAUGUGGGUCAUCCAUUUAAUCAAUAUUAACUGCUUUCUAAAGUUGAUCUAGAUAAUUAAUUGCAUGCUUUAUUUAGAUAUUAGAAGAAUCAAAAUUGUGGCACGAGUGAACAACUUAAUCUGCAUUGCUUCUGCUGCUUUAGCAUGCAAAGCAGAUGUUCUGACAAACAUGUCGGAAGCAUAUUCACCUAGGUUUGAAAAUAAGUCAUUAUCUACUUGAGCUUUUCGAGUGUAAGGUUGCAUAUUGUCACAAUUGGAGAUGAUUUUGUUCAACAGACUAGAAUGUGGAAGAACUCCAGAAUAUUAUAGAAACUAAGAACCCCAAGGAUUUGGCAAAUGAUUGGUUUUAGAAAAUAUUGAGCAAAUUAGGCAAUUCAUUUCAUGCUGUUACAACUAAGAAGAGAAUAUUGAGAUGAAUGAUUAGUUUCAGGAAACAUCAAGAAAUUUUGGAUGACUGGAAAGCUUUCAGUUUGCACCACUUAAAAUAAGAUGAUGGAAGAUCAUUGCAAAUAAUUGGAAAUGUAUCACCCCAGGCUUAUAAUGCAGUAGUAUAGAGGAGUAAAUUGGUUCAAGUUCCAAGGUGAGGACCGAGGAAGAGUCAAUAACAACAGGAAGAAGAAGAAAUUUCCAUCUAUCUGAUAUAAAAUACACUGGAAUUUUCCAAAAUGAGCAUGUAAGGAAGAUCCAAAAGAAAUGGUUAACAAGGUAAGGACAUGAUGGUCAUUGGCUUUAUUUUAAUUCGACCCAGCCACCAUGAUAGAGACUGUCACUGAAAUCAUAUAAUAGUGAAUUAAGCUCUCCAAUCAUAUAGCAAAAGUAUAUAGAAGGGCACAAAAGAGAAAAACAAGUAAAAGGUAAAAGUUACAGUAGAUUCAAGUUUUAACCAACAAAAUAAGUGUUUAUGCUGCUAAAAGCACAAAUUACUGUUGUAUUGGAUAUGGACCAAGAUUUUGAUCCAGUUAGUAUCGCAUGAGAGAAGAACAAGGAUUCGUCUGAUCCAUAUCUAAUUUGUAUAGGAUCUAUUGAUCUACAUGUCAUUGAUCUCCAAAUAAGAUUGUCUAGUCCUAUAUAAACACUGAACACCAAAAUCAUUGUUUUACCAGCACAAAAGUGCUUGCAAUUGCUUAGCUAUAUAAUCACUUCCUGAAUCUCACUGUCUUUCAUAUAUGCAUGUCUGUAUAUCAAUAACAUUGUAUCCUUUUCCAUAACCCUUCCCAGCCACAGUAAAAAUGGAGUCGCUGAUAGGCAGUGUGAAACUCUGUAACACAUCUUUCAUGAUAUCAGUCCAGCGACCCAACUUGAUUACCGAACAACACAGAGUUGAAUAUAAGCGACAGACAUUGCUUGAUCCAGGAGGCAGCAUAAACGGUCAGAACAAAUGCUAAACAAUCUGCCCUAGUUGUUGGUGAACAGAUGCACCGUGGCCGAUGAGUCGGCACGGUUUGGUUCACGGGUCGAUGUCGGGAGUCUUUGGUCGUCUGAGCUGGUUGCCGAGGCCGGGAAGCUGGUUAGUGGCUCUUGUUCGAGGCGUUGGUCGAUGGCUCUCCGCCGAGAUGCUAGUCGACACGUCGAGGGGAGGUGACCUCUCUUGAUCGAGAUGAUCUUGAACCGGGGAUGAUCACCGUCCUGCACAGAAGGCCCCGUCGGGUGGUUACCGACCGUGGCCCCUCGACAAGUAAGUCAGUGUGGGGUACUGCCUUUUUCUCCUCUUUUCUCCCUCCCUGGGCCAGAUACCGGCCAUGGGUUUUAUACUACUGAACGAGGGUCGGUCGUACGAGUUUUGUCGUGGCGACCGAUCCUCGAGAGGUGAGAUGAUACCUUUGUGCGGCCGCCGUCCCGGGACGCGUGGAACGGCACCAUAAGACGCUAUCCCGGGCUUACCGGGAUGAGACAUACCGAGCAGCAUCUUGGUAUGGUCUUUGGCUCGGCGCGUGAGGGUGCUCCUCUUGCUGACUUGGCUGUAGCGUGGCGUAGCAUCGAUUGUGACGUGGCCUGAACCCAAAAUAUACCUUAUCACUAGUUAAAUGUUAGAUCUGUUGUGGGAAACAACUUUAAGAGCCGUGGCCUCGGGGCCGACGCGGCUCGGUUCGGGUCCGGACGUCAGGGAUCUCACCGGGGCGUGCCUCGAGCCCGCGGGGUCGGUCCGGUGCGAUGGUCCAAUCGGGACGGGGUCGCCGUCUCCUCCGGGCAGGGGCUCGUCGUCCGCGCGCCCGGCGGGGACCCUCGGCUUCGCACCUGCACAAAGGUCGGGUCGGGAGGCUCGACCCGACCUCUCCGAUGAUCAAGUUAGCAGAAGAUGUGGAGGGGGUUUCAGAAGAAGAAGAAGUGUUUGUAUGUGUGACCCCCCCCCUUCUCUGAUGAACGAGAGGGUAUUUAUAGGGAAGUUUACAGUUGUUUAAUGUGCCCGCCUACAGGAGGCAGGCUGAUAGCGUCUGACAUGGGCGCUGGCGUGGCGUGAAGAACAGAGCCUGAGCAGGCGUUAAUGCGCCUCGGUCGAUAUUCCGAUUCGGUUGACCGAGUGCAGUCGCGCCGAUCGAGGCGUGAGGCGUCGGCUGACGUCAGCCGAGUCUUAUCAUAAUUACUAUCCUCAUCAUAUUCCCCCCCGGAAAGAAGCUAUGCGUCGGACGUUGUAACGGGAGUCCGAGGCAUGGCUUAAGCUUUCAGACGGGCUGGCCGCGAAGGCAUGGUCUCGGGGAAAAUGACGCCGAGGAGCACGACGUAGGCGGGCUAGCCGCGCAGGUGUGUCUCNNNNNNNNNNNNNNNNNNNNGACCGCGCAGGUGUGGUCUUGAGCGUCAUGCGACCGAGGACCACGACGCAGGCGGGCAGACCGCGCAGGUGUGGUCUCGAGCGUCAUGCGGCCGAGUAGCACGACGCAGGCGGGCUAGCCGCGCAGGCGUGGUCUCGAGCGUCAUGCGGCUGAGUGAUGAGGUUCGGACGGGAAGGCCGCCCUGAGGGGGGCUCGGCAGUCUACGGCCGAGGCAAGUGGCUCGGGCCGAGGGACACAACUCAGGCGGGCAGCCCGCGCUGAGGUGGACUCGGGUAGUCCAUGGCCGAGGGAAGUGGCUCGGACCGAGGGACACAACUCAGGCGGGCAGGCCGCGCUGAGGUAGACUCAAGUAGUCUACGGCCGAGCCGUGUAGAGUCAGAGGGGUUUAAGCUGGGGCCAACCGCGAGCCGAGAGGGGGUCAGGUAGAUACUGAACCUUCGCUCAGAAGAGACUGAGGCAGGGCUUAGAUUUCUUUUCAUGAGGACUACAUCGGGUAGCCACCGUAGGUGCUUGGCCUCUCUUAUGGAGCCCGUGGUCAGAGGUCGUCCCUUCUCCUCACGGUCGCCCAGGCCUCGGCUGCGAUGUACCGGUUAGCCCGCUGGAGCAUCUCUGGCACCGUAGUGGGAGGUCGCUCCGCGAGGGACCAGAGGAAUCUGGAAGGUCGCAGGCCUAUCACAAACGCCUGCACUAACAGAGGGGUGAGUGUCCGGCAAGCCCCAGAUUUGUGUGGCAAAGUGAUCCACAAAGUGUGAGAGGGGCUCAUCCUCCCUUUGUUUGAGUCCGAGGAGCAGUGUCGCGGAGGGCUUUGGCCGUGCAUAGGUUACGAAGUGGAGCUCGAAGUCAUUGGCGAGCUGGCCAAAGGAAGCGAUCGUUCCGAACUCCAAGCCGCCAUACCACGCGUGGGCCGGCCCUCUUAGAGUGGUAGGAAACGCUCUGCACAUCAGGGCAUCAGAGGUUCCGUAUAGCGCCAUUUGGGCGCGAAAAGCAGCUACAUGGUCCGCUGGGUCAGUGGAGCCAUGGUAAGCGUCCAGAGGGGGGAGCUGGAAGUCCGGGGGGACUGUCAGGUCCCGUAUCUCGGGUGAGAAGGGAGACCCUUGGUGUGCGUUCUCCCCGGGCUCUCCCUUGGACCUGCGAACCUCUUCCUGCACCUCGUCGAGUCGCUGGCUGACGAAGCGCAACUGGGCCCGCAGGGAGUCUGAAGAGAGCACCUCCGGUUCCGGGCGGCCGCUCGGGUUUGUCUUCACUGGAUCCCCGAGCGAGGCCGAUCGGACCCGAGGCGAAGUGGGGGGUUCCGGUGGUGUCAAGUGGGCCCGAACGUACGCCUUGCGUUGUCGCAGUGGUUCGAUCGCGGGCGGGUGCGCCGGAUGAGAAACGAGCGGGAUAAUGGUUUGCACCAUUUCCAUCAGAGCUCGGACUUGACAAGCGAGGUCCUGAAAGGCCUCGGGUGACACGGGCGUUGAGUCAGCUAGGGCGCCGUCCGACGGCGACAAGCCUGGGUCAUUGAAUAUUCGCCAAUAUCGUUCGGAGGUCGUGGCGGGGUGUUCGUCACGAUGGUCUCCGUGCGGGGGAUGUUCCCCCGAGGCUUCGAUCGGGUGUGACCUCUCAGCCGUGGGCUCAUCUGAGCCGCUCGGGUGAUCACCCGACAUUCCGGGCCCUCCUUCUAGCACUAAUCUGUUGUGGGAAACAACUUUGAGAGCCGUGGCCUCGGGGCCGACGCGGCUCGGUUCGGGUCCGGACGUCGGGGAUCUCACCGGGGCGUGCCUCGAGCCCGCGGGGUCGGUCCGGUGCGAUGGUCCAAUCGGGACGGGGUCGCCGUCUCCUCCGGGCAGGGGCUCGUUGUCCGCGUGCCCGGCGGGGACCCUCGGCUUCGCACCUGCACAAAGGUCGGGUCGGGAGGCUCGACCCGACCCCUCCGACGAUCAAGUUAGCAGAAGAUGUGGAGGGGGUUUCAGAAGAAGAAGAAGUGUUUGUAUGUGUGACCCCCCCCUUCUCUGAUGAACGAGAGGGUAUUUAUAGGGAAGCUUACUGCUGUUUAAUGUACCCGCCUGCAGGAGGUAGGCUGAUAGCGUCUGACAUGGGCGCUGGCGUGGCGUGAAGAACAGCGCCUGAGCAGGCGUUAAUGUGCCUCGGCCGGUGUUCCGGUUCGGUUGACCGAGUGCAGUCGCGCCGAUCGAGGCGUGAGGCGUCGGCUGACGUCAGCCGAGUCUUAUCAUAAUUACUAUCCUCAUCAAGAUCUAUAGUUUAGAUCAAAUUAAACCCAUAAGUCAGACCUUUAGUAAGUUUCUUUCUUCCACGUUUAUGCAGCAUGCAUGAAUCUAGCAAGAUCGCCAAGGAAGAUAAAGACGUACGUUUUCUUGGGAGGACUGCACCCGCCGAAUCCAGGAAUCAGGUCAUCGAAAUCAGACAAGUCCCGAUCUUUUUCCUCCGCGGAUCUACCAAUCACUCCCACCUUUUUUUUACUCUGGCAUUGGUUUGCCAAGAUUCUCAAGGAGGUCCUCGAAUGGGGAAGAAGAGACGUGAUUAGGUCCCGAUGAUAUCGAGGAAAAUACAUCAUCGUACUUGAACGACGACGAGCUCUUCACCCCAGGAAUGCCACUGAAGAUGUAAUCAUCGAAGACCGGCUUAUCAUAAACAGGCAAAGAAGACGAAGAUGAAGGUUCUGCGCCCGCACCUUUAUCAUAGCCGUCGAAGAUGGAAUCAAAAGCAGGAGGUGGCGAAGACGACGCCGAUGGCCCCCGCGAGGACGCAUUCGAGGGCCUCGUCGGACCUCCAAAGACAUCGUCGUAAGCCGGUGAGUUCCGGCUUUCGGAUACCUCGACGCCGAUCCAGGGGUCGCCAGCGGAGUUGGAGUUCCAGCCGGACCUUGAAUUGCCCGAGGAGCCGUUCGCGCCAGAGGAUCUGCCCGAUCCGAACCCAAGAUUCGCUGAUCCGCCACCGGAGGAGGCGGCCAUGGGAGCGGACUUUCCCUGGGGGCGGAAGCCGAAGUCCCGAACCAGGAUGCCAGGGAAGUCGUCCAUGGGGGAUCGAGGCGGGCGAUCGACAUGAAGUUGGCGGGGAAAAAGGUCUUCGAAGACGGCGAUCGGCAGCGAUCCGGCGGUCGCAGGCCGACGAUGGGGGAGGCAGGGAGGGAGGGAGCCGAGGAAGAGAUUCGAGCGAGAGCGAAAGAGAGGAGGUAAAGGGUUACAGUAUUGUGUUGGAUGUGGGACCCAGCCAAGUGGCGGGAGGAAGACACGGUGGACUGUCACCGUCUCGCCGCGGGAGCCACACCGGGCUGACGAUGAUUCGUCGAGGUCGAGGGCGUUCGAUGUUUGAGGCCGAGCGGCCGAUGAAGUAGAUUAAGGAUCGCUCAGGAUUAGUUAAGAUGAGAGUGGAGAGAUUAAUUUCCUUAAUCCACCAGCUUCCUUUUCCGAAGGAGUUUGGGAUGGUGAUAGGUAGAAUAAGAGUAAUUGAGAGAGAGAGAGAGGACUCUUGUGAGCUAAUGAACAUCUAUAUAGCAUUUCACACAAAUAUCAUGAGUUAAUUAACAUUACAACCAACAUUUUCCCAACUAUAUGAAUAGCUAAACACAAACGCAUACAUUGCGAGUUAAUGAACACUUUCAACAAAACUGUUGCUUGUGUUUCUUUUUCGUUUUUUCCUUUGCCUUACCAACAUACAGAUUGGGAAGGUCCGAUGAAAACAUACAUACACUUCAGGCAAUCUUCACUGCACCUGCAUGCAUUAUUCAAGAUCAAAGGUAAAUUUAGCUCUUUAUAUGUUUCUUUGGUGCUUGAAACUCGAAUAAUCUGAAUAGUAGCAAGCUCUCAACAAGCUUCAACAUCAACUUGUUCAUGGCAAAACUAAUGCAUCAGCGGUCGUCCUAUAUAAUAUAUAUAUAGAACUCCCCUACACUCCCCAGCUGAACUACUUUCAAGGAGGAUGAAAGAAAUGAGCCAUACAGAUUAGAAGAAUGACAUGAACCUCAUCUCCUGCUCCUGAAUCUUAUUCGUCUGAUCCAGUUUGCUCCUAAUUAUGCAAAACCUUUUAGGAUCACGAAACAUCAAUAUUGCUGCAUUGGAAUUGUUGUUGUCGAUCGAGAGAAGCUAUUUCCUCCUCUUAUUAGAGGAAACUUGAGCAUCAACAAAUCACCUACAGAUCGGUAGAGCGAUGAGCAUACUCUUGAACCAAUGCACCGAAGAGAGAUGGACGUUCAAUCAAGUUGGAGGGCUUAUCAAAUUCACUUGCUAGUCCUGAUCAAAAAAAUGCGUAUAAGAUAUCAUUAAACUUUUAAAUGUAAUAGUAUUAUUCAAAAAUUAAGAUGGUACUAAGCCAACUGAGUAUGUUAUUCCACGUGAAUAGAAAUUAGAACACUGUCGCUUCACAAGAAGUUUACCUGCAUCAAUGACUAGAACCCUGUCACAGUCCAUGACUGUGGGUAUUCUGUGAGCAAUGCUGAUGAUUGUACAAGCGGAGAAGUCUUCUCUGAUGAUCUUUUGAAUCACAGCGUCGGUUUGCGAGUCCACUGAAGCUGUGGCUUCAUCCAUGAACAAGAUUCGGCUGCGCUUCAGCAUGACCCUCCCCAGACAGAGGAGCUGCCUCUGUCCUACACUCCAGUUCUCUCCAUUAUCAACCACUGAGAAGCCAAACAAGUUAAAAUGUGUGGAUUAUUAGUGAUCACAAGUCUCUCCAUUAUCCCGGACUUUCUUUUUUCUGAACUAGAUGUAACGGAUCAUUGGAGUAGUAUGUGUUAGCAAAGGGAAGUUUCAGGGAGAGAAGUUGAGAUCAAGGAAGAGGAAGAAGAAGAAGAGGAUACCUGAAGCAUCAAGCUUCUCAGGUUUUAAAGAUACUGCAUCUUUGAGUUGGCAGCGUUCAAGAGCCUGCACAUAUAAGCACAAUGUGAAUUACACAUAUUACCUACAUCUAUGUCUGUGUAUGUGUUUGUGCGUACAUACAACACGACUUGUACCUGCCAUAUCUCAUCAUCUGAGUACAGCCCAAUGGGGUCGAUAUUGCUGCGAACUGUUCCUUCAAACAGAACAGGUUCCUGAGGGAUAAUGCCAAAGCGUGACCUGAGAUCAUGAAGACCCAACGUAGAUAUGUCUACUCCAUCAAUGAUUAUUUGUCCUUCAGAAGGCUCCACUAUACGGAACAAAGCUUGUAUCAAUGUCGAUUUGCCACUGCCUGUCCUUCCCACAACUCCUAUUUUCUCUCCUCCUCUGAUGCUGACUGUAAUGCCAUGGAGAACAAAAGGAGUGUUUGGACGAUAUUUAACCUGAGCAUACAUCACAAAAUUUUAGUUCAAUGUCUGUUUGAAACGAAAAGAUUCUCAAUUUGAUGCAUUGUUCGUUGAGUUUCUGCUGUAGGAAAUUCUAGAAGAAAGCCUUUUGAAAUUCGAGAACACCCAAGAUUUCAAAUAAAAUACUAUGUUUAAACUGAUAAUUUAAGAAGGUAAAGAGACAUGAAAUAGUGUUAUAAACCUUCAGAUUUUUUAUCUCAAUAUCACCAUGGGUGGGCCAAUUUGGAGACGGAAGGCAAUUUUUGAUCUCCCAUGCUGCCUCAGAGGGAAUGUUGGUAAACUGCCUUAUCCUUUCAACGGAGACCAUUCGAUUCUCUAUAAAGCAACUGACCCAAGUUGCCCAAAAGAGUACAGCAUUGAGGGUGAGACCAUAGGAAAGGGAUAGACCAACAUAUUCUGCAUUCCACAAGCAAACAUCAAUUGCUGCACAUCUACUGGAAGCUAAAAUAUACUUCAGGGAAUUGGCAGAGGAAUACCUGGUUUGAUAAAAUUGCUAGGAAGCAUGAUCAUGAGCAAAGCUGAGAUGCAGAGGACAAAACUUCCAAUCAAUUCUAAGCGAAACCCCAGCCACUCAUUGGAACCAUUGUUGUGAAAAUCCAUCCUUAAGCUUGAAUUAACCCUAUUCAAGUUUUCCUGGGAAAACCUAUCCUCCUUUCUGAAGCAACGGAUCGUCGUGACACCAAGAAUGGUCUCUGAGAAGUGAUGGAUAACCGGGGCUUUCGUGAUUGAGUCAAGUCGAGUUAGUUCCCGAGAUGUUGCAAGAUAGUAACCCUGCAGCCAAGAGGAAAGGAAGAACAACAGCGGGGUAAGAAAGUUGAACCAGUUUCUAUGGAAGAGUAAAGAUAACACACGCAUGUUCCUUAGAACCAAGUCUUUAAUACAAAAAUAUUUUUGGUAUCUUUAGUACAGAAGCUGUGGAACUUUUCAAGGAUACAAGUUACUGCACUAGAGAUGUUAAGCAUUGUGACAGAUGGCACUUACCCUGUACCAAAUAUUCAGCCAUAUCAAUGGAAGUAUGAGUAUUACAGUAGGCCAUGCAACCUGACAUGUAACGAUGAUUAUGCUAAGCAGUGUGAUGUACAUUGAAGCAGUUAAUCCCACGAAGAAGGGGAGGAAGAGAUCAAUGUUGGUUUGAUCUGAUGAUGCCUGAAAAAACAAGUCCAAAAUCAGUACUUGUUUCCCACAUUACUAAAUAUUUCACUGGCAGCAGCUCAAAAGUUCUUCCAGUAAAGAAACAGGAACUUAAGAGAAGAAAGUGAAGAUUAAAUUGAUGUGGCAUGCUAGAACAACAGGGAUGAGGAGAUAGGGAGCAGCUCACCCGACUAAGAAUUCUGCCAGAUGGUGUAGUGUCAAAAAAAGACAUUGGAGCAUGCAGAAUGCUGUUGAGGAUCUGCCUGAAGAAGAUCUGAGCUGUUUUAAGACCCAAGUAUGCAAUGAGAAAAGACCGGGCAGUGAUUAGAACAACAGAAACCAUGGCUAUGGCGGCAUAAACUUGAAUGAAGAGGGAUGGUCUGAAUGAACUGGAUAUAUCCGCUGAUGUUUCGUAUGCCAACCAAUAGUCACUUGCCAAUAGAGAGCCCUGCCACGCUGCUGCUACUAGCAACACUAUAACUGCUCCCCACCACCCCCAAGCAUGGGUUAUGUAUACCAUAUACACGUUCCAGCUGACAUGACCAGUUUCCCGUUCCUCUUCUUCUACUAGUUUAGAGGUUCCUUUGCUUUUCUCUGGCUUGGGGGAGAUGAUGGACCCAUUCUCCCCAUUAGAUUGUUCACGACUCAGAGCAGCAGGUUGAUGAUCAUGAUGAUCCUGUGCAGAGCUACUCUGCUCUACAAGUUCCAUGGAACUAUCAUGAGCAGCUACAAGUGCUGCAAAAUCGGUGCCUGGCUGUAGUAGCUCAUCAUACUUUCCGGAUUGAACAAUUGCCCCAUCUCGCAUAACCUGUGUGUGAGUUUUUUGUUUGGUUAUGUCAGGAGAGAAGAAAAUGGCAAGUAGUUAAUCUACACAUUGUUGGAGAUAUUCCAUAUUAUUGAUGGUGAUGAUCUCUCAUGAAUCAAGACUGGAAUUAUCAAUCUUAUUUCAGUUGCUACAGAACGAAUUUCUCAGUGGGCACAUUGUAUUCCAUUUAAAACAAUUGCAAGUUACAUAGGAAUGCUCAAGUGAUGCUCACAGCUAGUUGAUUUCAAAAGAUCAAAGAAGAAUAAAAAGGCAGAACCCAAGGCUUCCUCAACAAUAAGAAAUUAAACUCGAGUUGGAAGCAGCAGUUUUAUGCUGAAUUACAACUAAGCUCAAGAUAGUUACAAUUUAAGAAACAAAAACACAGCUUUUUCCCAACAUUAACUGACUAUUAAGGUGUUAUUAUACAAAGAGUAUAUUAAGUAAUCAAUGUAUUUAAGGAAAAAAGUGAUCAUGAACUACAGUUAUUUUGUUGGUUCUUUUGAGGUCAUGUAGGAAAAAUAUCAUCUAAAAUUAAUGUAUUACAGAGAAAUGGUGACAACCAGCCUUGAUUUAUCAAGCAAAUAUAACUAUUCAAUUAAAGUCUCUGUUGAAACAUCCGAAUUGGUUAGCGCAUUGUUGCACAAAGUAACAAGUCUUAUGUUUGAGUCCGCACGUGACUAUCAUGUUAAUGUAAUGAAAAUAUAUUCUAAUUUUAAAAAAAUCAAACCUUACAAAAAUAGAGCAUGAAACUUACCAGUAUAAGAUCAACAUUGUGCAAGAAGUCCACUUGGUGUGUUACAAGCACAAUGGUCUUCCCUUUGAGAACACCCCUGAUACAUUCCUGCAACGGUCAACGAAGUCUCAGAAUCCUCAUCUCAAGAAACAAUAAUCAUGCACAAAUUCCAGUAACACUACCGAACGAUCAUUAUUUACGUUAACAUGGCGAGUGACCAAUUCGUUGACCACAUAUAAAAUUCUAAUAGAAGGGAUCAGGAAUUGCUACUACUGUCUAAUUGCAGGAGAUGUGAAAGAAAAAGGCACCUUGAAGAUCUCUGAACCGGUCUGAGCAUCGACGGCACUGAAGACAUCAUCAAGAAGGUAGAUAUCGCAAUCCUGGUAGACCGCUCUGGCGAGCUGUAUGCGUUGCUUCUGUCCACCACUGAGGUUGAUUCCCCUUUCUCCAAUCUCAGUCUGGUCUCCAAACUCCAUCAUCUCCAGGUCCUUCUCCAAGCAGCACACCCGGAUGACCUCCUCGUACCUCUUCCUGUUCAUCGGCUGCCCAAACAAGAUGUUGUCUUGAAUAGUUCCAUUUUGAAUCCAUGCCGUCUGUGCCACAUAGGCUGUGCUACCACAAACCUUGACCUGCCAUAACAGCAUCAAACUGAUGUUGAUAUGCAAAAUCCAUUUUUUUAUUGUGAUUGUAUAGCAAUAAAUGGACAAACAUCUUAGAACAGAGGAAAUUUAGGGUUUAGUGAUGAUCAUCGGGUCAACCCUACAAAAAACAGGAUCGGAACUGAAGAGGCAACGGAAAUCUUGGGCAACCACAGUGAUGUGACGAGAAAACCAGUAGCGUCUGAUUCCGUCUGUGCCACGGCAAAGACUCGGAGGCCGACGCACCGGGUGACGCAACGCGGCGCUGAUGAAGCCCAUCUAAAUCAAUCAAUCGUGGACCCGAUCAAAAGGAAAAAUAACUCGUGCAAAAGAUGCUCGCACUGGUUGCAGAGCGGACUGUGAAGCUACGGGUCUAAACUGACGGGCGGCAGACAGCGGGGGGGCUUUCUGGCCACGUCACCAUCUUUUUGAUGGUGGGGCCAAACUUUAUGGAAAUGGGGUAAGGCUGUAAACGGAGCACCCUGCCGUGUGGGAAACAUCUGAGCCUCACAGACUCGGCGGUUUAACAGAGUUCCGGACGUCGCAUGAUGAACCGGGAGCUAUUCUUGUCCACGUAACACGAACCGGAGCCAGAGUUUUCUUUUUAGGUUUUACGUGAGCUGUUUUAUGUUAAUCUUUUUUGUUAUAUCCUUUUAUAGUAUCACUCGAAAAAUUAACGGCGGCGAUGGAUGGAGACGCGUACCUCGCCGGAUAUCUUGCGCAUCUCGCCGAUGAUGCAUGAGAGGAAGGAGGACUUGCCCGAUCCGACGGUACCCACGACGGCGGCCAGAGCGCCGCGCCGAAUCCGCACGUCGAUUCCCCUGAGCACGGCGCUGCUCUCGUCGGUGUCCUCGUCGUCCCACGAGAACGCCCCGCCCGCCACCUCGACGGCGACUCCGUCGUCGCCGUCACAGCCCUCCGACCGUUGCACCGCGGUCUCCUCCAGCUCCCCGCUCGUCAUGAAGCUGUCCAGCCGCUCCAGCGAGAUCACCGCCUGGGACGCGGAGAUGAGCGCCUGCGGGAAGUUGCGCAUGGGCUCCUGCAGGAUGCGGAAGAAGGUGGUGGCGGUGAAGACGAGGCCGGCGGUGAGGCGCACCCGGCCGACGAGCACGCACGUGGCGAACACGAGCGUCGACACCAGCAGCGGCGCGCUCCACAGCACGAUGAUGUUGCCGGAGAUGGAGUACAUGAACUUGGAAAGGAACCCGUACUCGCCGUCCCGGAACUUGUUGAUGCGCCGGCUGAAGUGCUCCUCCCACGCCUGGAACUUGAUCACCCGCAUGUAGCUGAGCAUCUCGUUUGUAGCCUUCAUCCGCUUGUCGCGCAUCCCCAUAAGCUGGAACUGGUAUCGGUUGUUCCGCCGCGUGCCUAAGAGGACGAAGACGAUGAUGGCGGCAACGCCGAUGACGGCGGAGGUGACGGAUGGACCCAGGUAGUUGUAGAGGAGCGCCAGGGCGGCGCCCACCUGGAGGGGCAUCAGCCAGAUGUAGUGGAUCUGGAGCAUCAUGUCCGAAAGCUGCUGCGCGUCCACGGCCAUGUAGUUGACGAUCAUGCCAACGCCGUGGGACUGGCGGGCAGAGCAGGAGAGGCGGAGGCCCUUGCGGUAGAGGGAGGUGAUGAGGGUGGACCGGAUGAGCAUGCCCAGCUUCUGCGACUGGAAGUUGUACUGGUGCGAGCAGAGCACCUCCACUAACUUGGCGAAAAGAAGGAUGCAACAUAGGUAGUAGCCCUCGUAGGCAGAGGUACGCUUGCCGGAGGUGUAGUCCACGAAGCGCUGGAUCAGGGUGGGGCCGACGUACAUGACGAAGAGCCGGAUGAUGGAGAGGCUGGCGGUGAGGAGGAGGCGCGGCCAGAAGCAGCGGAGGAGGGUGGCCCGGACCGGAUGCUCCGACCGCACCGCCUGCUCCGGCCACUUGGAACGGAAGAGCUCGUACAUGCGCUCCGCCCGGUGAUCCAGCGCCAGCGACGGGACGUCGUUGAGGUUGAGCGGUGAUCGAUAGCCCUUCUGGAUCAGCGGGUUCAUCCACGCCCACGUCAAGCGGGAGAGGAUGGAGGCCGUCGCGUAGGGGGUGACGUUAGGUUUCGCUGCCGCGGCGUCGGACGACCUGGCCGGCUCCUCUUCCUCCUCCUGCCGUGCGACCACCGAGACCCCGGUGGAUCCAGAGAUCGCGAGAAACACAAGCGGGACGGAGACCGCGAGAACGACGACGGAGGCCACGUCGUCGACAGGGAUAGACGCACCGCCGGCGAACCGGACGGCGGCGGAGGCGGCGAAGAGGGCGGCAAGGAGGAAGCUGGCGAUCCAGUAGAUGCGGAGCGUCGUAGGGUGGACGGCGGCACGGAACCGCUUCUCGUGUGCUACGAGGGCGGCGGCCGCGAGCUGCGACAGGAACUGGAGGAGCAGGAACACCGACUCAGCGACCAUCCACCGGGAGAACGGGAGGCGGGCGCGGGCGAGGUCGAGGACGAGGAGGACAGCGUAGGAGGCGGCGAGGAGGAAGGAGAUGGCGAGGGCGAGCUUGUAGCCGAGGCCGACGCGGACGAUGACGCGGGACUCAGAAAGCAGUGGCUUUUCGGCCUCCUCUUCGGCGGUGCCAGCACCAUCUCUCCGUCGCCGGCGGAAGCGGGAGGAAAGCUUCUGGAUGGCGAAGACGAGGAGGACGAAUAGGAAUACUACAUCGGCCACGGCAAAGAGCGCGCGCUGAGGACACGGCGAGAGGAAGAUCACGCGAAGCCACUGAAGGAAGCCGGAAGCCGAAGACUGCAACGGAUGGCCGAGGGAAGAAGGGGAGCACGUGCGAGAGGUGAUCCAUGGCGGAACCGUAGACAACCAAGAAGAAAAAGAAGGCAUGGUGAUGCUUUCUGUCGUAUGAUUAGCCGGACCUCAGGCGAACCACCACCACCACCUCGUUCCUGCCGCCUCUCGCCCUUUCUCUCGCUCCUUUGGAGCGGGUGCAGAAUAGCGUGCAAUUAGUAGGCCCUGCGACGGCAUCGACGAGAAAUCAAGACCAAGAAAAAUAUUUAAUAGGAAAUCAAAGAAGACCAAAGUGUACCACCAAACAACUCCGUCUCAUUCACUGCGGGGGCAACGUAAAUGUGAGGAACCACAAGGGUAGUACGAAAGGUUGGUAGGCAAGCAAAAGAGAGAGGCGUUUUAGAGUGCAAGGGGCGGGAUUCCACCGCUGUUCGUUUCGUUGGCUUGAGCGGUGGAAUUGAGAGUUUUCUGUACCAACCGAGGAACAGAGAAACAGUAGGAGAUCCCAGUAACGCGCCAGCCGUGACCACAAGGGGACCCCUAAAACAUGAGCGAGGGGUUGACCUGAGACGAAGCUGCAUGUGGACGGAAGAGAGACAACUGCUUCCGAGAAAUAUUAUAAUGAAGAGGUGCGGCAAAUGUGGACUCCUCCUCCUCCUCCUGUUAGAUUAGCAGCAGAUAAGGGUCGUGUGGGUUAGAUAGCAAGGCGAUAUGGAAAGACAACGUAGUGCUACUUGAGAGGAAAUAAUGUGGCCGAGUGACAUAGAUCCGAUGUCCUGGUGUGGGAAUCAUAUGUUCCAUUGAUGUAGAUCUGAUGAAUGGAAUUGGAGGUCGUUCACCAGAGCCACAUAGGGUGAUUGAAAAGUCCUUUUCAUCCCUCCUUUUCUCUUCUCUGAUUUUGUUUUGAGUAAGAGAAUAUGAAAAGAAGACCAACGUCAAGAAAUAAAGUGCAUUUUGAUUAUUCGAAUUGGAUUUUUUUUUUGUUUCUUUUACCGGUGAAUGAGACAAGUGGUGGCAACUGGCGAACGUGUGAGUUCGUACUUGGGCUGUAGCUGUAUACACAGAGAAAUAUAUGAGAUCUAUUCAGGAGGCAAUAAAUGAGAUUCUCAACGAGGAAGAUUGCAAGUGUCUCGAGAAGGUUGAAGCCAACGGACAUAUGCUGCUCUAAUCACAAGGCAUGCUCGUUUAAUAAUAUAUUUGAGAAUAUCUUGUAGGUUGUUUUCCAAUGACCUACCUACUACACACUCUUCCUAUCGCAAGACAUGUUUGUCUCAUUAAUAUAUCUGAGGAAAUAAAAGAACAAUACCAUGGCAGAAAUAUGUGUAGUAGUAGAAUGCUUAAAGUAUUUGAUAAAUAAUGGAUGAAAACUAUAUUUUAGGUAUGCAAGUGUUUGCUAGUUAAAAUUAUAAUUUAAAAAUCCUUUUAUUUUUUAAAUAUUUUUUUAAUAAAUAUAUAUAUAUUUAUUUAAAUUAAUAAGGAAAAAAUGAAUGUAUAUAAUCUUUCAAAAAAAACUUAUAUGAUCCGGAUAUAUAAUAAAUAAAAAAUAUAGUCAUAUAAAUAAAUAUAAAAGAAUAUUUUAAAAUAAAUAAAUAAAAUUUCAUCUUAUAUAGGACAUAAAUCAUGUUAGUUUCUCACUAAAUUUAAAAAUUCUAGUUAGGGUUUCAAUUAUUUAGUGACACUCUUAUGAUUUUAGAGUAUGUCAUAAUACCAUUUGAAAAUUUUAAGAUUUUUAUUAUUUUAAAUUUUAAAAAAAAUUAUUAACAUCUUGUAAAUGCUGAAAUGCAAAUAUUAGACUAAUGUAGUAUCAAUAUUUGAGUAUUUGUAAUACGAUAUCUAGAUCAAAUAUGAUUUAAAAAAUAUUAAAUAUUAAUUUAUAUUUAAAAUAUGCAUCGGACCUUAAUACAUGUUUCCAAUGUAUUUCUAAACACAUCCUAAUUUUAAUAUUAUUCCCAGUAAAACUACAACACCCAAAGUUACACAUACUCCAUAUUUGUUCUCUUAUAAGGGAAUGCGUCAAUGUCGGAAAGUACUAAUAAAUGAAGGAAUAGCAUUAAAAAAAAUGAAAAACCAGUAGGGUGAAUGAGCUGUGAUGCACAGAAAGACAAAUACUGAGAACAAUUAUUAGCUUUCCACCAUGAACCAGCAAACCUGCUGGCACAUGACAAGGAUGCUUGGCAUUUAUGGAAGGAGGGGAAUAUUGGAGCUGCGUCAUCGUCACUGUCCUCCGUGGCUAAUUUCUCAUUGUUAAAGUAUGUGAUCCGGCCACAUCGAUGAUCACUUGGGCAUAAGCUUCAUUACAGAUCAUAAAUUGCAGUUUGACCGAUCUCUGGUGUCGAUAAGGUGACCAGAUUUGGUGGGGAUCUAAGUAUCUGAAUCAACCAUGCACAUUAUACAUAACAGGGACAGCAGAAGUUCUUUAUGCUUUCACACUCUGCCACUUUUUUAAUGAACAAAGCAGAGUUUGGAGCAGAAUAUUUAAAUCGACUCAAAAAAAUAGAAUUAGCACUAGUUCUAUUUGAACUGAUUCAUCAGUAAUGUAAUUUUAAAUUAAUGUAUAUCCUCAUCGUCACAAAAAACACACAUAAAAUCGUUAUCCCUUUAGGAUUUUUGUAAUCAAGAAAAUAGAAAACCAUUAGCCCAAUGGGACGGGUUGACUAUUCAUUAAGGUGAGGGGCAGCAUAUGAUUAUGUGAUAUUCAUAAAGGAAAGAAAAGCAUAUGAUACCUCUCUCUCUCUCNNNNNNNNNNNNNNNNNNNNUACUACCUCUCUCUCUCUCUCUCUCUCUCUCUCUCUCUCUCUCAAAUCAAACAAAGCAAAUGCCAUAAAGUGGGGAAGAAAAGGUUCCAUUUGGUGCUAUGUGAAUACUUCGUUCAUCAGAGAGAAGAGACGAGUCACGGUACCAAAGCAGAGGAUAACAAUGGAUCCUUCUCACCAAACCCUGGCAAUAGUUGACGAUCGGUCGAAUGGUGAUUUAAAAUAGUGCAGUAAAUAUAUCGAAUGCCAUCAACUCAGAUAUGGGAACCAGCGAUGUGAGUAUCUUAUAGUUCUCAGCAGUUACCUUGGGAGACGCAAUCUGCGGCGAACGAGGGAGAUCACCGGGCUUUGAACCAAGACGGCCGCGUUCUCGGUGGCGAAUGGGCGAUAGAACAGGGAGAAGGACGGGAGAGAGAGAUGGCACCGGACGCUGUUGCUGGCCAUGGCAGAUGAAGAGAGAGAGAGAGAGAGAGAGAGAGAGAGAGAGGGGUUAUAUAUAUAUAUAUGCGGUUUUAUGACAGUGUCGUGUCAGGCUUCUGUUACACGGUGGAUAUCAAACGGUUCGAUCUGUUAAUUGCACUGCUGUACUACUUAUUAUCUUUGGACAAAAUAUAAUAUAUCUAAAAUUAAAAACAUAUAUAUAUAUAUAUAUUCAAUUUCUCUUUCUUUUCAAAAUAUUUUUCACUUUCAUUGGGGGGUGAGAGGACAAAACACUUGUUCUGACCAUAACUCUAUCACAAAAGCCUCCUUUUUAUAACCAGCCACAAAAAUUGUCAGAAAAGAUCAGCCACAAAAAAAAAUAAGAGAGGGGAAAGGUGUCAAUCAAAACUUUCUAAAGUAAUUGGAAGAAGCAUCCAUCACAACUUUUUUCAUGCACAUGUAUUUUACUUAAAAAAAGCAUCAAUGUUGUCAGAUAGUUAAAAAAUAUUUUUAGAUAUUUUAUUUUCUUAUAAAAAUCUCUCUCUCUCUCUCUCUCUCUCUCUCUCUCUCUCAUCAAAAUAAAUAAUAAAAUAUUAAAAAAAAUAACAAUCACAUGAACCUCGAUCCAUAUACAUAAGAUUAAAGUGAUAUCUUGGGAUCAGGUUGCUGGUUUGGUUUCGGCGUCCUUAUCGAGAAAAGAUUCCAAUCAUUUUGUCCACCAUAGCUGACAGCUGAUUGCCCAUCAUGCGCUUGCCUUUCAUUUCAUAGUGCAGCUUUUGAUGUCCGUGAUUUUAAUGUGACCAUUUAGAUCUUAAUUACCGAGAUAAAUGAAGGUUGAUUACUUUAACUGUUUAAUAUAAUAAAUGUUCGUCCAUUUUAAAUAUCUGAAUUGAUUAAUGAAUCAUUACAAUUUUUUUUAAUUUAAAAAAAAAAUGCAACCGGAGCUCUUAAUUAAUACAAAAGUAUUUAACAACACAUUGAUUAGCUUCCGCAUUUCAUAGCGAAUUUUGCACUCUUUAAUACAUUCUGAAUACACUUUGAAAUCUUGACCACCUCCAUGUUAAAACCAUUCAUUUUUAUAAAUGUUUAAAAUACACAUGAGAAAAUUAUUUUGUAUAAUGUUAUUCUUAUAAUUAUUGAUUUAAUUAAAAAAAUAACAUCUUUGGUGAUUGAUAUGUCAUCCUUAUUGAAUUUCGUAUUGAUAGAAGAUUAGUCAUCAUCCGAUACAUCAUCGCUACUCUAUGGUGCCCAAAGAUAUAGUUAUAUCUAUUUUGAAAAUCUAAGUUAGACAUUAUUAAGUUUUCUUCUCACCGUUUGUUUAUGAUCAGAAAAACAACAAUAAGUUUUCUUCUUGUUUUUUAUAAUAAAAAAGAUAAUUAUAAGUUUCUUUUUUGCUUUCUACUAUUGGGUAUAAAAGUUCGCUUUUCACAUAUAAAAAUAAAAGAUUUUUUGAGACUAUUAGAUUGAUCAAGAAUAUCUUGAUCCAUCGAGUUCGUUUGGUGUUAUCUGUACGAAGAUCGAGAUCGAAAGAGAUUUUUCGUUUUAUUUUCUCAAAAUGCAACGCUCUUGUAACUUGAGGUGUACAAGUGCGAAUGCUAAUAUCUUGAUCCAUCGAGCUCCUUUGAUGUUAUCUGUACGAAGAUCGAGAUCGAAAGAGAUUUUUUUGUUUUAUUUCCUUAAAAUGCAACACUCUCGUAACUCGAGGUGUACAAGUACGAAUACUAAUAGUCCCAAAAAAAUCUUUUAUUUUUACAUUUAUCUGGACCACGGAUAUUUUGGGACAUGUAAAAAUUUGUCUGGAUCGAUAUUUUUUUAACAUACGUGUUGAGUUUUAAUUCAUCGAGAAUGAUAAUUUUAUCAACUUUAUGUAUCUUGGAAGAGUGACCGUAGAUUCCAUCUAUAUUAAGUUUAUACCAACUUAAUUCGUUAAGCUUAAUCGAAUACACCAGAAUAUAUCACACACUAUAUAUCUAUCUUGCAAACUGUGUUAAUUCUGUCCAUAAGAUUCGAAGGUGAUAAAUCGUUUUCAAGGUAUCGUUACCUCACAUCGGCGAAAGGGCGAAGCAAACAAGCGGCGAGGACGGCCAUGAAGCCGACGUGAACGAACCGAGGAAGGGCGUCUCCUCGUGCGGCAGAGAAAGGAAGCGUCGAGCUCCACACGGCGUGGGUUCCACGACGAUGACGAAGACGACGAGGAAGACGAGAUGCAUUGGGAUCAUCAAGACACGUUAUCGAUCACUAGAUUCGUCAUUGAUGACGAUAAUGAAUUAGACGACGGCGUAUCUGUUUGGUCUCACAUCAACAUCAAGAAUGAAAAAGGCGAAGCCUAUUAUCAACUUGGAACAUUAUUUUUUUUAUCGUUUCUUAGAAUCUAUGUUAUAAUCGAGAGGAAAGUAGUGUCGCAUGAAUGUUGUUUAAAAGUCAUACAAUUGUGGUCCUAAUUGGUGAUUGAUUGAGAGAAAAGGUUGUCUUGAAAGGAUGGAUGGAUUCCAUGGCUAACAUUCAAAGCAUGUUGUUGACCAAUCGGGGAUGACAGCAUGUGUAGCGGAGUAGCUUAGGCUCCAACAUAUCGGUCAAUGUUUGAUUCGAUUGGUCCGGCGUUAUGGGUUUGCUUUAGGACUGUCUUUUCUUUUAUUUUAUCCCUCUCUAUUCAAAUUAACUACACAUGAGGAAUUUGGGAGGUCUUCCGGUUGAUUAAAAAAUUAAAUCCAACUAAACUCUUAUCUCAUUAUUUUGGAUUGUUCGUGACAUGAUCUUUACAAGUCCGUGCGAAUAUCAUGAUCUCGCUCGCAAAAGUCAUGGUUUUUAUUCAGUAGGAUUAAUUUUUUUUUUUUGUUUUGAAUCACAAACCCUUGUAAUUAUAUAAGUUAUUAGCAUAAAAAAAAGAAAAAGAAAAAGCAAUCAUCGUUUGAAAGGCUUCAUCAAUUAACAAUUGAUACUUGAAAUAUUAUUAGUCAGUGCACAAGUGUUUGGCUAUCUAAAAUUCAUUGAAGUGAAAUGAGUUCAAGCCUUUCUUUUAACUAAAAUUCUUUUUUACUACAUUUAUCUUUCCCUAUCUUAUUUGUAAUUACAGAUAAUAAACAAAUGGGCAGUAUAGUUUACUCGAAGCAUACGGCGCCGCACUAUGUUUCAGAUUAGAUCCGUGUCUCAUCUCUCAUUCCUCCGUCCUCCGUCCUCCGUCUUGGCUGUCUUGUAGCCAUCAGAAUGUGCGUAGCGAACGAGACAAAGUGUGUUCUUUUAACCCCUCAGAAUGUGCACAGCGUAUAAGACAACAGAGAAUGCUAAUCGGAGGAAAGGGUAGGGUUGGUGGAUCCCAUUAGCCCUUCUUUAUGUUCUCAUGGAUCUCUCCUCCGAGGGUGGGGUAGCCGCGCAGGAGUACGUCCUUUUAAUUGGAUCAGUCCCACAGCAACAAUGAAUGCCGCGAUAACAAGCUCUUUGUCCUCGUGUGUACUGCUUUUUUUCUGGACCUGCCAUGGAUUCCUCAUGCUUUCGAAAUGGCGUUCACGCAAAAGGUACGAAUACGAAACAGGACGACGAUAUUUUAGAGGAAGUCCACUCACAACCACCACAUGGAUGCCGUCGGUUCUCCAAAAUAUUAGUACGUAAGGAAAAGGGAAGAGUGAAAAGUGAAGUCUAAAGAGAAGAAAAGAAAAGCCUCCAAAGGAUCACCAUCUAAGUUAGCAAGAUUCCUAUAGAAAAGUGAUGAAACUAUAUUACCAUAUUUAGUAAGUUAGUUCCACGUUGGUCGAGUGUAUGAAGAUCACAUAGUAUUAUGAUCAUAUCAUUCGACAUAUUGCCACAUUUAAUUUUACAUUAAUUCAGUUGAAAAGUCAAAACCUCAUAAAGAUCUGAGGCCAAGCUAGAAUUAUUUCUCACAGACCUCAGAGUACUCUGCAUCGUCGGUCAUUGCAAUGACCGUAGUAUUAUGAUCAGAUCCCUCAUCCUAAUAUCCAUAAAGAAAAUUGAAUCCGAUUGAUUCAAGUUGGGGUUAAAACUUAUUGCUAUUAUACCCAAUUAGACCCACAAGGGGUAGAGUUCUUCACAUGGGCUCAACUUGUGAGCCCAAAUAAAAUCAUAUUAUCGGCCGCCGAGUCAAACUAGUGAUGAGUUCACCAGAAAAAAAGAAUAUAUAUAUACAUAGAGUUGUUGCUUUAAGUAACACAACUAGAUUUGUUUCUUGAAACGAAAAAAGAGAAAAAAACAGUAGGCAAAAGUCUUAGCUUUACUGAAUAGUUUUGACCCGCAACGAAGCAAAUCUCGGAUAAAGCAUGAAAAAGAUGGCAUCAGCUACGCAUUGAUAUAUUAAUUCAUUCUCAUCAAUAUAUCCCCCAAACAAUAUGAACAAAAAUCGAAGAAAGCGGAGUUAAUUGUGGCCAAGCAUGUUUUUUUCUGCAUCAAUAUUCCGCGUAUAUUAUGAUAUUAGCACAGAAUAAAGGAAGAGGCAUCUUACUCCAUCAUGCACAUGGGUUCACUAAACACCGCUCAUCUUUCUAGUUUGCUCAGCAAAGCUUCCAUUGGUGGCAACUCCUUCACAAUCUCUUGCCAAUCCGGCAUGCCCUGGGUAUGAAAAAUACAGUAAGGUGGUAGUAGAAUACUCCAAGAGUAUAACUUGCUCUUUAUACGGGUUUCAAAAAUUUUACUGUGUCAUGUUGUUGUCGAUUCACAGAGAUACGCAUUCGUCUUCCCUAGUUUAGCUAAUUCAGCAGCGAUGAACUACUUUCCAGUCGUCAAAAAGGAUGAACUUUAUGACUGGAUCGAGCAAAAAAUUCCAGUUUUGCUAAAGAAACUAUACCUUCCCUGACUUUCGAACACGUCCAUCUAGACGCAGAAUUAUGAAAACGUCAUCACCAGGAUCAAGGACUCCUUCGGACUUUUGCUGAUCACGUAUCCAUCUGAACAUCACACACAUGAUUAAAGCUAUACUUUGGGCAAAUUUUAAAAGAACCAAGAAAUGGACUACUACAUGUUUUCUUAUACUUUUACUACAAAAACAACAAGAAAAUGCAUCCAGCACAAGACGACUUCAGCUAAUUCUUUCAGGUGGCUCAUUUAUUCAUUAAGCUUAAACAAGAAAUUGAGCAAGAUAUAAAAAAAUAGAAAUGAUGAACAAAUACAAGUGAAAGCUUGUCGGUGGUUGAGAUAAUUUUUUUAACAACUGGUUGAGAUAAGUGAUCAGAUAGCAAAAAAUACCAACUUGUAUGGCCGCUUAAACUUGGAAGUGAGAACUGGGCCCAGUUUUGCCGGUACGGGUAAAAAAAAAAGGAAAUAUUCUCGUAGAUCUAUUGAUUAUUGUGACAGGAUUAAGAAAUACAUAGAGAGAUUUACAAUAUAUAAGAUAAAAGAAAUGAUACAGUUGGCCUUAAUCAAGGGGUACUAACUAAGUACUAACAAAAUCCCAAGUUUGAACAAGUGAAGGGCUAGGUCAAUUUGAGACUGAGAAAGAAUUAUGUUUGUCUAAUUUUGUGAAUUUUAGCUGGUUUUCACCAUUGCUUUAGUUGUAAAUUAUAAUUUUCGUAAUAAUAGCACUUUUGUGUUGGUUUAGCAAGAGCUCAGAUGGUUUGACUUUAUACUGUGAUGAUCCAAAGACAUGAUAGGGGUAAAAUAGCACUGAAAAAUUAUCUUAAAGAGAAUUAUCUGGCUAAAGAUUUAAAUUCUGUACACAUUGCACAGGUGAAAGAUCUCUCGCUUAAUUUCCAACAUUUUUUUCUUCAAAUCUCAUCAAGUUUGUUCUCUAUCUCUCUUAAUUAUCUAUCACAUACAACAGUUGCUGAGUUGAAUGCUGAAAUGCAAAGAAAUAAUCAGAUCGCAUUCCUUUAUCUCCUUCAGCCACUACUGAGCUUACCAAGGAAUAUUCAUAUUGUAUUCAAAUUUAUUAGUGCAAAACUCAUAUACGUUGAGGUCUGCAAAAAGCCAUCAGAGAGGUCUGGACCCAUGAAAAAAUGAUUAUGAGUGUUGAGGAUGUAUUUAUUAUAUGAAUUAAAUCCAAUGCAUCAAGCAAAACAUGUAGGAGGUAGCUAAAUAAUGUUUGGGUUUGAAAAUAUAUAGAUGAGCAAUUUGUAUAUUAGAUAGUUAUGAGAACAUGUGGCUAGGAUCAAGUACAAGUAACUGUCGCUAAAAUUUUGAAAAUUAUAUUUUAAAUAUGUAAACCAACUUGAAAGAAUACAUUAAGAGUCAAUUUCACUUACCUUUCCCAUUCAUAAGGAGAUACUAUCUCAGCCUUGAAGCGCACCUCAGCUUUCAAUCGUGACUUUGCAGUUAUAGAUUGAGUUCGUUGUUCAAAAUCAUCCUACCAAAAUGCAAUUGUAUUUUACGGCAAUAACAUCAAUGAUGCUAGUAUAGCUACACAUAUAUAGUCUGAACAGUAUAAGUUACUAUAUUUAGCAUAUACCCUAAACAUACACAUUUGCAAACAUAUAGAAGGAAAAAAGUUGAGAGAUUAUCAGGAAGACAACACAAAGAACAUGGUACGACAUGAGAAUACCCGAGCAUCUUCUGUUGAUUAAUUUUCAUGGUAUGACAUGAGAAUACCUUAGGUGACUAGUAGAUAGACUCACAUCUACAUUCCUACUACAUCUGUGAUCAAGCUAACAACUAACAAUUUACAUUAGCUAGAUUCUUUACCCAAAUUUGGAAGUAUGAUGACCCGAUGAUCCCAUAAAGAGAGUUGGCCUGUUGGAUCAGCAAGAUGGGGACAUCUUUGGGCAGACUAUCAUCAGAACCCUAAAGGUGAAUUUUGGAUCAGGCCAGAUUCAUUGACAUCAAGCUUUUGACUAGUGAAGACUGAAUGUCCCAGUAGUCCCACAUCACUAUGGACUAGGUUAUUAUAUGUUUAGAGAUAGAUGACUUUAAAACUAACAACUACGACUCAAGGAUUUUGGCUCACAUGGUUCUAAUGCUGUUACAUCAUAGUUAUUAGGUUAGUCUAUCGGGCUAGAACAUGAUGAUUGAUCUUAAAGUAACUUCAGGCUUCUCUGGGUGGGCUGACACAUGACAAGAUGGGGGUUACUUUAUGUAGACUGAAAUGUGAAUUUCUUUGGGUUAGACUCCCAUUAGAAUCUCAGAUGUUUUGGACUCUUGACAAGGAUGUCAAACAUUUAAUUGGGGAAGAUUUUAAGACCACAAUAUUUCCACAUAGACAAUUGAAGUUGAAUAAAAUUAGUACAGUUAGUAGUUGAACUUGAGCAUUUUGGACCACAUGGAUGUAUACCCAUUAUAUUUGAGCUACAAAUUCAAUAAGUCUACUGGGCCAGGAUGUCAAAAUUCCUGUUCUUUGACUCAUAAACUAACAAAAAUGUAGCAACAAUAGCUAAAAUUGAUUUAAACUCAAAAAAGAUUCUGUUAUGGUGUAAUUUCAACCCCAUUUGAACCUAACUCUAGCCGAAGCCAAUGCCAAAGAAUAAAAGAAAGAGGAACAAGUAGAUAGCAAACAAACUCCUAAUUGAAUAACCAAAAAAACCAAAAGAACAAUAAUGGACCAGUUCCCAUGGCCUAUGAUGAGUUCCCAGAGAAAGUAAAUUGGUGCUUUGAUACUUGAAAACUACUUCAGGUGUAAUUGCAUAGGUAUAUAUAAGUGCAGAAGACAUCCCAUAAGAGCAACUCAAAGGUCCAUUUUAUGCAUUUUACUGACCAAGCCACACAUUUUUGCAUUUAAAUAGACAAACAAAUAAAUCUGACCCCAAUUGAAGGAAGAGAUGAAGCAGAUUUUGCAGGAACACCAAAGCCCUUUUUCUCAAUGGAAGCCUUGCUAUAAUCACCCCAGAUAACAGGAAUCAGAAGAACACCUCGCUUAAGCAGUUCAGUUCGGAACCUUUCAGCCUUCUCCAUUGCUCUUGAAACAGUCUCCUUCUUCCCUGCCAAAAUUACCUAAAGUAUUGUUCAUAUAAGACCUCCAAGUUUCUUGUAAAAUUUGUAAGUGCAGAAAAAUUGAAGAAACAAAAAUGGUUUCCAAAACAAUAAAAGCUAACUUCAUCUCAUACAAUGUACAUACAAAAGAAUGGAAUUAGUCUCCUGAACAAAUGGCAUCUAACAUAGCAGAAAAGUGACACUAACCGGCCUAUAAGUGUCCCGAAGCUGCACAAGUUCAACAAUCCGAUUAGUUGAAAGACGCACAGGCAAUCUUGAGAGAGUUUCAUCACGUGAUAUUUGAGCAAGCUGUUCCUCUUCCUUCUUGUUGUCCCAGAUGAACAACACCACAAGAACAACAAUGCCUACAGAGUGCUGAUUCAAAAGCUUGAUCAAUUUAAAGAAGUGAUUUCCAAAUACCAACGAAGUGCACUUUCAAGAAUUGAAGGCGUCAAUUUGAUUAAACAAAAUUGUCUUCAUGGUAUAUAUACUAUAAUCAUUUACCGCCAAUGUUGAUGGCAGCAUUUCCAGCAGUCUCCCAAAGAUCAGGAGCCCCAUCACCACCAUUGAUUGCACGUAUGAGUCUGGGAACUGUAAAAAACAUAGAAAUCCCAGCUGCAGCAGAAAAAGCCACAUAAAAGAAUCUUCUCACGCCACGAAAUGGUGCUUGAACUUCACUAAUGAGUUUGAGAUCUCUUCGAAAUCCAUAUCCUAUGUCUUCACCUCCCAGCCUGGCCUACAAAAGCAUGAGAGGAAAAAAAAAUUGUUUCCAUAGCAUGGAAAAAUAGCCUGAAUCAAAAUAAGAACUUAGAUACACAUGAAAAUGCAAACUGAACAGAUGGACAACCUCUUCUUGCAGUUGUUUAAAUUCUGGUAAAGCUCUGAAUGAGGCUAAGUCAGGAUCAUUCAGAAUAGUGCUGAAUUUGAGAUUGUAAUCUCGCAAAGCAGCUCGCAAACAUUCUGCUGCUUGCUUUCCUUCACCUCUAAAACAAGAACAAAAUUUUAAACAAAAAUCACCUAAGAAAAAGAAAAAAAACCCACAAAGAAAGCAAGAAUAUGGAAAAAAAGAGAUGCAAGGGGAAGAAUGCUAGCAUACAAUAGAUCCUAUUUCUUCCAAAUGAUGACAGGCAUUUUACUACCCAGAAAAAAAAUCAAACAAGGAAACUAAAAUUAUGGAGAAAUAGUAAAUUAGAUGCCUGCAUUGUAUCUCAAAACCAUAAAAGAUUUCUCUAGGCCGUCUAACAUAUCAAAUAAAAUGCUAGACAUUAAUUACAUCAUUUCAAAAUUUCAGGACUUACUAAAACAGAAGAACACAGCUUAAAAUCAUCCAGCAGAAAACUGGACAACAAACACUUAGCAAAAGAAGUUGGUUCUUGGUGCCUGAAUUGCUAAGCACAAAUCAAGCAUCCAGUGUCCUAUUUAUCAACCUCAUUAAUACUGAUUGCAACAGAAUAGAAAAAGCACCAAUAGAGUUAAUUAUCCCUUGUGCACCUCUCACCUAGACAAAUCCAUCAUUUCAUGAACUCACUUUUUUGACAGUCAAAUAUUAAAUAAAACACCAACUUGAUUUCACACUCAAGGACAACUCUAGAUGAAUCUUGAAAGCUACAACCUCCGCCGUCCUCAAUUCCAUAGUUAUUUUGUACAAUUUAUUUUAAAUACCCCACUGAACUAUAACAAUCAAACUGGAACCAGAAGAAGUUUUUAGUUCAGCCUCAUCUUAAUUGGGAUUCUGUAGUCCUGCUAAUUAGCUCCUUUACUAUUAUGAUGAUGUAUAAGGCUGACAUCAUUGUAAUAUACCAAUGUGACAUAUCAAAUGAUACAAAUGAUGGAAUGCAGGAUUUAUAAAAAAGUUCAAAAAGAUUAAAUUAUAGCACUAUUGUUUAACAUUUAAAAAAAAUCUUGUGAGUGCAUUACCAUGUCAUUUUUUCUCUCAAGCAUUAGGUUAUAAUAGGAGAAAGUAACAAAUUUCUUAACUGACAUAUAGUUUAUCCAUUGAAGAGCUUUUGAAAAGACAACAGAUUGACUUCCCAAAUUUCAAGAUUUACCCCUCAAUAGGAUCCCUACUUAUCGCAAAAAAUGAGCAAAUAGUAUUAAUUAAUUACUUGCCCUGAAAAUUUUUCCAACCAUGAGGGCUUAAUCCCUAGAAGAUAAGGAAACUCCAUAUCUACAUGCAGCACCAAAGUCACAAUUAUAUUUGAUUUCCAUGUAUCUAAACAUUCUAGCAGAGGAUAGAGAUUUUUUACUUGUAUGCAUGGCAGCAAGCUUUGUUGUACAGUGCUGCUUGGGCUUCCAUAGGAUUUGGAUUUAAAGAAAGGGCAUUCUCAAACUGCACAAGAGCUUCUUUCACCUAUCACAUUUUCAGUCAUGCACACGGAAAUGUGAGAUAAAGACGUAAGAAUAUGAUGAAAUGAUGAAAAGAAAAGAAGGUAUAACGAACAGUAGACUUUAAGCCAGAUUCCUUAUUACAGCAAUGAUGAAAAGAAAAGAAGGUAAGAUUAUUAUGGAACAAGCACAUAGACACAAUUUGAAAGAAAAGCAUUUGAAUGAAGGAGUAGCACAAUAUAGCAUAUAAAUGUUCCUCCUAGGUAACUUGUCUUGUCCUCUCUUUCCUGACAUAAAUUAAUGCAUCUUGAGACUGUAACAUUUUCAGUAGAAACCCAUCCUCUUCUUUUUAUGUGAUAGAAUUUUGCAAGGACAUUAUUGGCCUCAAAAGACAACCAUAUGGCAUAUGUUUAAGAUCAGUACACAUGGCCCUUGUCAUGAUGUUUUGAUGAAGAGACCAAGCCUCCAGAUGAACUAUGUACAAUCAAAGUAUGGUGUUCAGUUCAAGGAAUUAUGCUGCCACAGAUUUUUCUCUUUUAUUUCUGCCUUUCCAUAAAUAUUUCGGAGCUUUCAGUACACUUUUCAAGUAGCACUGUUUUUGGUCCCCUUCCCUUAUUUUCAUGUUGACAGCUCUUUCCUCGUCGCUUCUCUCUUAACUUCAAAUUGGUCUCCUCCACCAUCCCUUUUCAAGUAUUGAAAUUGUCUACAACUCGAUGCAACUGUUUUUAGGAUUUUCUGGUUUUCGAUCAUUUUUCAUUCCAAACGAAAGAAGUCUUUUCUUCCUCUGUUGAUCACACAAUACGAUUAAUCCCUUCAACAUAGUUAGCCUAUUUCAGCAACAUGAUUGUCGUAUUGGUUCAUCAUUUCCGUACCCUCAGCAACAAACACAAUCUCCUUGCUAAAUAGAUGGCAAUCUUUGGGUUGCUAGAAACAGUAUCUGAAAACUUCGUGUUUUUGUUUGCUUUAUGUUGCAAACUCAUGUAAUAGAUCUCUUUGCAACAGUCACACGAUCGUACUAAUCCAUUGUGCACACUAUGGUCCAUCAUGAAUUUGACAAGGAAACAACAGGAAUCUUUAACAGUGUACCAGGACUAACCAGUACCAUACAUGAUGGAUCAAUUCAGUUGCCUGCUGUAUACAGUGCGCCAUGAAAUGAGUCUAAUUAGUACUAGUAAGUGACAUGCAUCAAUAGGAAGGUCACUCAUUUGCAUUAGAGGGAAGGUGAAGAACUGACAGGUCGACAGACUGAGUUCUUGAAACCAAAAGAAAGAUUCAGAUGCAUCGUUGCAAAUAUCAUCCUUUUGUGAUUUCUUGACACUAAGACAAAGAUUUAGGAAAGCAAGAUCCCCAGUUGCUACUUUUAUAACACAAGAAGCGCCGAGGGAUUUGGCAAUGAGAGACGCACCCGUCCCUUGGAGAAGAAAGAAAGGCCGAGAUUGACACACGACUCCGCCGUCUGCGUCGCAGUCUCCGGAGAGGGAGGAGACGGGGGGGAGGAGGAGGAGGAGGAGGAAGAGGCGACGGGGAGGAGACGAGCCCGUCGGGAUCUGAGAGGGGUUUUGGGCGCAGACCAGGUGUUGGACUUCGGGCAGCAGAGGAGGUGCUGUUGGAGAGCGAGAGACGCCAUGGCCAUCGCAGCCACGAAAGAGGGAGAAGUAACGCGGAGGAAAAGGCGACGGCACCGCGCUCACAUUUUUCGCUUCCGUUAUCCGCACGAAUGUCACGGAAGCAGCACAUCGCGACCACCAUUUCUUUAGUCGGGUCGGGUCCGAUCCAUUCCGUUCCCGUGGAUCUAUACAUACAAGGCCCACGGAGAAUCUGGAUCCGGGUCUAUCUUGUUAAAGCCCGAACCCGGACCCAAGUUACCAAACUAUAAUAAAAGGAUAUAAUAAUAAUAAUAAUAAUAAUAAUAAUAAUAAUAAUAAUAAUAAUAAUAAUAAUAAUAAUAAUAAUAAUAAUAAUAAUAAUAGUAGUAGUAGUAGUAGUAAUUUACCUAACAAAACAAGGCCCAUGGAGAAUCUGGAUCCGGGUCUAUUUUACCAGCACCUAUUUUAUUUAACAUACCAAAAAUAAUCUCAAAAUCGGAUUAACCCUUUUUAUUAAAUCGAACAACUUGAUUUAAACCCGAUUGAUCCAAGGGUUAGUUUGGUUCAGUAUGAUUGUAGUCCGGGUCAAAUGGAUUUGGGUCAGAUCUUAUGAAGUUGAUCAAGUUAAGUGUGAAUCAAAAGGUAAAGAGUUUACACAAGGGUUAAACCGAAUUAGUAUAACCCUACUGUAAUCGGCAAUGACCAAUGCUCCUCUCUCUCUUCUGCUCCUCUAUGAUUACGGCAUUUCUCUCUCUUUGGUAACGAUAAACUUCUCUACUCUCUAGUGAUGAAGGACGAUAGUAAAGUUCUAUGCUUUUCUUAGACAUUUUAUGAAUGGUAGCGACAUUCUCCUAUCUUUAGUGGUGCCAAACUCUUCUGCUCCUCUACGAUGUUUGUGCAUCUCCUCUCCAACUAUAAAUGAUAGUAUCUUUAUCAGUAGCCAUAUCCUCUCUCUAGAGGUAAACUUAUCUCUUUUUUUUUUAAAUAGUAAUAUUCUUUGAAAUUAAUUUUUUUAUUAAUCUAUUAAGUAUGUGCACUAAUCCUAUUAACAUUGUGAGAGUCUUAAAGAGGUUUUUAUGUUUAUAUGAUAAAAACGAUUGAUUGUUCACUAAUUAUUGAUAUUUAUAUUUUUGAUGCAACUUAAGGGUUUUGUUAGUUUUUGGUGAAACAAGGAGAGAUUGAUGUUGUAAAACUAAAAGGUCUUUGUUGGUGAACUUUUUAUUGUUAAGAUGUCAAAAUCUUGGGUCUGAAUCAAUAAGUUUAGGUGAAGCAUUCAAGAGAAACAUGGUUAUAUUUGCAACACCUUCUAGGAUUAUUAUUGAUAUUUUUAAUGUUCAUGGUGAGUUUUGAGUUGAUUAAUUCAUGUUUUUUUAAUUACAAACAAGUGUGAAAUUGUAAAUAUAGUUUUCUCUUAGAAGAAGUAAUAUUUUUCAAACCUUGUUUUAGUGUUUAUAUAAUUAUUUUAGAGGGUUUCUAAUUCUUAUCUUAAUUGAUGAAAUUGGGUAAACACCCACUUUUUUUUUGCUAGGUGAAAAUAAUUUAUAAAUAUUAAAUAUUUAUACAAAUUAUUUUCUUUGAUUUUUUUUAUAUUUGCUUAAACUUUAAAUAUAUAUCUCAUAUUUAUAAUAUUUAAUUUUAUAUAUAAAUGGAAUGAUGUCACUACGUAGAUUCCUUCUACUUAGGGAUAAGGAGCAUUUCAUGUGGCUACUACAAGUAAUAUAUAUCAUAAUUUUAUAAUUUAUAUUAAAUAUUAUUAAAUUAUAUAUGAUUAAUGUUAUUUUUAAAUGUAAAGUAUAAGAUGUUUGAAAACUAAUUCCUCCAUCUUCACCCCCUUUGGCCAUCAUAUGCUACCUCAACUAUCACAUUAUCCCCUCUAUAAUAUAUAAUUAAUAAUCAUUAUUACAUAUCAUUUUAGUUAAUGAUCUUUGUUAUAUCAUUCAUUUUAGGUAUUUUGUCUAGGAACCGAGUGGUAAGAGUUAAGGUCGCAUGAUGUUGAGAAAUAUAAGGCGACAUCAAUGUUUCUUAUCGUUAUGCGUAAAAACCUACGAAAUAAAAAAACUAUGUGUAAGAGAAUUACCUAGAGAAAUCAUAUAUAUAUUCAUGAAUUCCUACAGAUCUAUGAGAUUAGAUGAAGGAGUUCAAAUGCCCUCCUCUCUAAUAAUGAUCCAUAUAGCAGGGGCUGCGACGAUGCUCCUAAAAUCACUACUCAAAUCUUCUCAAUGUGCGCACCAUGCACUUAAGUAAGAAGGACUCAAGUAAGGUCAGCCUUUCUUGUUGUCCACACGUCCCAAACUGGGGCUGCUAGCUAAGGAGAGGAAGAAUAGGAGGUGGUAGCUAAAAAACCUUGCUUAUGACCCUUUGGUUCUCUCCUAUUUAUAGAGGUCCUUUGUCAACUUAACCCUAAUGGAUCUUGCUCUAUUAGGUAUUAACUGUAGAUGUACUAGGCUACUACACCAUAGUCCCCAAACGAUAUAGGGGAAUCUAAUUCUUUGGACCUAUCUAUUCUCAAUUAUCAUGUAUCUAUAGUCCCUCAUCCAUAUAAUAUUUCAGAGACCAUAUAUCAGACAUAAUGCUGUCAGGCUCAUACGAUUUCUCCUUGAGUCUUGGUCUAAUCGGAUUCUCUUGGAGAACUCUUUCUCUCUCAAUCUAAAUGACCUUGGCCAAGGAUUUCUCUAAGCAAGAACAUAUGAGAUAUUCCUCUCAUGAUAUCGAGAGUGGAUGAUCCUCUAUCGACACUUAAUAACCAUCAUAAGGUUAGCUACCACUUCUUAUGAUCGGUUGUGCUAGAUCUGAAACUUUUAAACCUAUAAGUUUGGUAUCAAAGAGUGGAGUACUCAUACAGGACAUACUUGAUGUCUCAAGUCUAAGGACCAAGUACACCAUUGGGAUGACAAAAUCACUGUUUGAUAAUAAGGUAUCAUCAACCAUCUAACAUUUCGUGAGCGGAUUAAUCAGUGAACUCAUUCUCCAAUGAGCACCUGCACUAUAGCCUUAGUGUCCCCACACGAGCAACUAUGAGACCAGUUGCUUCCAUCAUAUGAACGAGUAUACAACACACCAGCAUAUCCGGUUAUCUCAAUAUUUCUCUCGAGUAACCUAUGAUCAGAAUUAUUUAAGGUCUGUGUUUAAAGGUGAAUCAAUUUCAUUAUCGUGAUCUCAUUACGAUCCGAUUCUCAUUGCACAGAUUUAUGGACAUCACAAUAUAUUUAUGGAUCAAGCAAUAUAAAUUGAGAAAAUAUCAUAAUAAUAAUAAGCAAAAAGACUGUAUGUCAUGUCACACAUAUCAUCACUCACAUGAUUGACUUACAGGGCACCUAUGACAAGCACAUGAUAUCUAUUUCUCCUAUGUUAUAUCAUCUUCAUAUUCUUAGGAUGAUACCUUUUUGUUAUAUAGCAAAUAUUCCUAACAUUCUUACAUAUUAUUAUUUUUAUAUAUUAUUUUACAACAUUAAGAGAGAGAUUCAAUUUUAAUUUUGGCAGUGUUUUAGUUGAAUUUAGCUUGAGUAAUAUUUCUAUAGUUUUGAAGGUUUCUAAUCGUAAACAAGUCAUAGAUGUUAAAGCAAAGUUCGGGUAUAUGUAUGAGAAAUACUUUAAUGAUCAAUUUUAUAGGAGACAAAAUAUUAUUGACUUAAGGUUGUAGUUGAUAAUUUUAGAAUAAGGUAAUUAUUGAUUUAAGAGUUCAUUUAGAGAUAUGGAUAUGCUUUCUAUAAUUGUUAUUGUUAUAUAUGCAUGUUAUAGAUGUUGAAUCUCGUAUUUUGAUGAUGAAAUCAAUUGAUAAUUAUGUUUAUGUUUUAAUCUGCGUUUUGAGUGAUGCAGGAUGCUUCGAUUAGGAUAAGACAAUUAAAGCAGGAAAAAUCAUGUUGGGCCGGAGGAACAUAUUAGAAGAUUGGAUGUCGGGCCAGUGGAUCGGUCGACAUAUCGACAGAAGACUUCGGGCCAUGGAUUCGGGCAUCGGGCCAAGAAGAGCGGACAUUGCGCCAAGGAUAUCGGAGCUGUGGAGUUAACUGGUCGAUUGGACAAUAGACCACAAGAGAGGACGAUGUGCCGAAGAAUCAGACGAAGCGUUGAGGGACCAAUGACAUACCGGACAACUUGAUUAAUGCUUAGUAUUAAUUUUCUAAAUCGAAGUUUGUUUUACAUGUGGAGAAUUAACUACGAUGGAAGUAAGAUAUGCAGCAGGAGUUACGCUAGAGUCAAGACCAUGAUCAUGUUGGGGGUUCGAGAGUUCGACGGAAGUCCGGACGGUCGUCGGAGGUUCUGUAGGAACAAAUCCGAGAAGUCUAGGAGCUUGCCAAAGAGGAUCGUCGGAACUCGCCAAGUAGAUUGUCGCAAGUCCAGGAGUUUGCCGGAAGUUCGUCGGAGCAUCGCAGAGGGUUCAUCGGAUGUUCGCCGGAAGUUCGUCGGAAGAAGCGAUUGACGCACCGGAGCAAGUUGUAGUAUUAAUGUCUUAAAUAUCAUAGUUAGCAUGUAGAUUAAGUUAGGAAUGAUCAGUGAUCCCAUUAACUUAAUCUGAGAGCAAUUGGGCCCUUGACAGACCCAAAUUGGGCCGAAUGAAUCAGCCCAUUCAGACCCAGAAUUCCUGCCAGGCGGUGACACCGCUAGGGCCGGCUGUGGCACCGCCCAAGAGUCUUGGUCUCCCAGGAAUUUUGGGUGAUAGUACCACCCAAUUAUGAUGGUAGUACUGCUAGGACCUCGAAAAACUAGGAGAUUCACUUUUCAACUCCAAAUUCAAGCCAGUUGGGGCCUAUAUAAACCCCACCCUUUCCUGCAUGAAAGAAAAAUCGAAAGCUUGAUCUUACUCUAUGAUUUUAGAGCUCAAAAGUAUUGUAAAGGCCAAAAGUUCUCCUCCCUCUUUUCUUCCAAGUUUUGAUCAUUCAAGAGAGGAGUGAAAAUUCUGUAAGGGUUGUCUCUUAAGCCCGUCAAAAGGAGUGAAACUGUAAAAGGGUGGUUGGCCUUUGCCUAUUGAAGGAAGGCAUCUAGUAGACGCCGGUGAUCUCGUCGGAGGAGGAAGCCGAAAGUGGAUGUAGGUCACGUUUGACCGAAUCACUCUAAAAUCUAGUUUGCAUUUCCUUUGUGCUAUUUAUCUUAACUGUAAACUGUCUUUCUUACUUUACUUCAAAUAUGUUUUCAUAAGCUUUCAAAGUUAUUAUUUGCACGAAAGGACUUUUACAUCGGAAUCAGAUUUCAACGUACGAACGCAUUUUUAAUCAUCGAAAGUUUUCUACUGUACUAAUUCACCCCCCCUCUUAGUGCUUUUGAUCCUAACAAUAGAGGUAUGUCAAGCACUCAUCCCGAUAGUUACUGAGUCUCAUCUACUGAGAAUACCAAGGUAUAAUAAUUUAGUAUUUUAUAUUUAUAUUUAAAAUAUAUUAUUUAUUUAAAAUAUUAAACUAUUUAUAUGACAAAUAUGCUGGUGAGAAUUGUGUCGAGUGUAAAAAGAAAAAAAUAAAAUUAAGAUUAUGGACUUGAUCAUCUUGUGACCCCAGGAAGAAUUGUUCAUUUGGAUCCAUUAAUAAUCAAUUAGCUUCCAUAGUGUGUUAAGGAUUAUCAAGGUCUACUCCAUUGAUUCCAAUAUCUUUAGUACCAUUUUUUCUUUUUUUUUCUUUUUUUUAGGAUGAUUAAUUAUCCAAAUAGGGACUUAUGUUUUAAAUUUAUGAUCAAAUAUAGCUCGAAUACAACGUAAGUGUAACUUAAGAAAUUUUUACCAACUUAUUCAAACUUCUAUAUAACUAUCAUUAAAUGAUUCUAAUAUGUUUAGCAUCACUUUUCUUAAAUUUUUUUUAAUUUUUAGAUGAUUUUAGUAAUUACAAUGUUAAAAAAGAGAAUUAUAGUUCUAGGAGAUACUACCGCUUGGUUUAGGAUGAUACCAUUACUUAUGGUCAGUAGAUAGUGGAUAUAGACCAUACUAUCGUUUACUUAGUGGUACCAUUACCAUUAAGCAAUAUUAUAUUAUGAUUGAGUAUAAAGUAAGUAUAAUUUCAAGUUAAAUUUAACUAAACUAAUCGAAACUUAUCUACAACUACUAUGACAUGAUUGUAAGAUGAUUAAAUUAUUUUUUAUAAUUUUAGUUGAUCUUAGUGUAUUUAAUAAAAUUUAGCAUAUGGUGAUUAGAAUGUUAGAUUAUAAUCAUAUCCAAUUCAUAACUCAAGUGUAACUCAAAUAAAAAAGAUUGUAACUAAAUUAAAAUCCACUAUGAAAAUUAUAAAAAUGAUAACAUCAAUUCAACUAAAACAAAAAUACAAUAAGGAUCAUAACAUCAAUUAUAAAAUGAUAACUUCAAAUUUAAAAUUAGCAAAAUUUUAUAUUAUUUCAUAAUGUUACAACAUAGUUGGCAAAAAACUAUAUAGAUAUACUAUAGGCAAAAAAUAUCACCUUAUAUUAUAGCUAAUGUAAAUAAAAAAAAACCAAAAUUAUACUAUACCUUAUCUUUGUGUUUCGAUUCUAUCAAUAUCUUCUUACUUCUAACCUAAUAAUACCAAAUUAGAAAGAUAUAUAUAAUAUAUUUUUAUUAUUACAAUAAAAAGUUAAGGUCCAUUUUAGCUCCUAUGAUUUUGACCAUGGAUCACUUAAACCCUUACGAUUUACUCGUGUCUAAAAUAAACCUUAUAUUUUCAAAAAUAUAAUAUAUAAGCCCUCCCUCCCCCGUCAAGUUUAAGUUAAUAAAAGUUAGAGUAUACUUACGUGGUUUGUUGACUCAUAGUAAACCAUUAAUAUAAUAACAUAUAUAAUUUUAGUUUAAAAAAGAGUUAAGAUCCAUUUUAAACUCUGUGAUUUUAGCCAUGGACCACUUAAGCCCUUAUAAUUUAUUCGUAUAUAAAAUAACUCUUAUAUUUUAAAAAAUAUAAUAGAUAAGUCCCUUUCGUCAAGUUUGAGUUAACAAACGUUAAAAUUUGCUUAUGUGGUAUAUUGACUCAUAAUACAUCAUUAAUAUAAUGAUACAUGUAAUUUAAGUUAAAAAAAUUAAGACCACCAUCAAUGAUGGGAGAAGGUGCCGUUGUAGAAGCGACCACCAAUAGUAGCACUGAGCCACUACUGUUUAGCAGGGCAUCAUAUGCACGUAGCCUUUCCUACGCUGACGAUGAGUUCAGGAGCUUCCAGUCCUGCCUUAGGUGGAUAUGCAUCGACUAGUCCAAUGCUAAGCAUGCAAUAGUCUCGUGACCCCUCUUCCUCCUCUUCAACAUUUUCAUCCGUACCACCUCCCACUUCAUCCUCUCAUAUACCCCCACUUGGCUUCUCCUAUCUCCUCUCCGUUUUCGUCCGCCGCUUCCUUUUCCUCGACAAGAUGGACUUUAACGGGAGAGGCUUACAUGCUACGUUUUUGAAAAUGUAGGGAUUAUUUUAUAAAUGAGUAAACUAUAAGAGCUUAUGUAGUCUAUGGCCAAAACCACAAGGGUUAAAAUGGACCUUAAUCCUAUAAUGAAUGAUUCGACAAUACACCGAAUGAUGGGUUGAUGCAAUUAGCGCUUCAAUGACACAACGAAGAAUGAUGUUAUAGCUUCAUCGACACUGCAAAUAUUUGACCAAUAUAAUAGUCGGUCAUAUACUGAUUCCAAAAGGGUACAUAAAGCUAAGUGAGGUUAUGGCAACAAACCAUUAAUCACCAAGACUCUAUAAGGCUUCGUCAACAAUGAAUAAUGACUAGCUCUAUUGGUUUGCUGAUCACUUAGGCUCAACAAUCGACCAGACAUCCUAUUGGUGGGAAGGCAAUGGUAACCUCUUACCUCGGCAAUCAUUGACACUCACUCAGAUGGUGACGACAACCUCCUGCCCCAUCGACGAAGACCAUCCGGACCAUCGAGACGACAAGCACAUAAUUUGUAAGGUCAAAUAUAUAGUUUAUAAAUUAAAAAAAAAAGAGAAACACCUAAAUCCUUGAAAAAUAUGCAUACUUUCAUCUAUUGUCACAUAAAAUAAUACAUAUUUUUAUAUGACUAAAUCUUAUAUUUUUAAAUUUUAUUCUACUAAUUUGGUAAGAUAUUAUAUAUUUUUUAGUUCUUGAUUUUUAUCAUGCUGUCCAGUAUAUUAUCUCACCCUAUUGUAAAAAAUUAGCUCAUUUGAUACGAAGUAGCCUUAAGUGUUUAACAAAUGGUAUCAUCUAUAACAUUUAUAGAUAAUAUCCACAGGGUUUCUCUUGAUGGUUUUAGGAUUCCAAAGGAGCCCAUGACAUCCUCCCCUCCCUAUAACACCAUUUCUCAUUUCUCCGCCCAACGUAUGCUGUUCUUGGAAUGACACCACGUAAAGUGUCCUUUAAAGUGCUCCCCAACUGUUCAUGGAGAGGCGUUCCGAGAAGAUGCAGACUAAACAAACUUGGCCGUGCAUGGCGGACGCGACAUCGAGACGUAAACACCGGGGCUGUCCACAAAAGCACACUCGCAUGGCCCCAUGCGAUGGUGUGGGAAAGCCAAGAGAUGUGUGGCGAACGCCACUGGAACCGUCCUCCAUGGUCAAGAAACACUGCAUGGCCUUAGUUACUGUGACGGAGUGGUUGAGGUCAAUGGAUUCCCCAGUUCUUCUUGCUGGCGAUCCCAAUCCCCUUCCCUGCUCUACAACAGUUCAGGUGACUGGGCAACCCAAGAUGAUCAUGGUGCAUUAAAUCUCCAUCUACUCUUCAUCUUUCCUCAGAAUGCCAUAACUAUUCAUCUCAGACACAGAAACAGAACAUGAAGAAGACCUGCACUUCAUGAACCUUUCAUGCUCGUCUGAUGCACCGACACCUGCUGCUUCUCCUUGUAUUUAUGAUAAGUUUCAGGGCGUGUAAGAUGCAACUUUGUAUCUACUCACUGAAAGAAAGAUAAUACUGAGCUACUUCAGGCUUCAAUCAAAGAUGAGUCAACAUAGUCAACACGAGACCUUUGAUGUUUGUCUUAAUUGCUCAAAGAAUAUAUCUGACUUACUACAUACAAAUGCAUCGACCUGCGUGACAUCCUUUCAUGCACACAAGCUGAGGCCCCCAUGGCGAUGUAAGGACAGUGGGAGAGGACACUGGAAGUUCUUUUCAUAAUGGAAGGCCAGGAACAAUACAUAAACAACAGGCAGAGAAGUUAGAGAAGACUGUGUUGCCUGUGUGCAGCUUGUGGACUCACAUGUGUAUCAAAGGAAACAUCAGCUUGGUGAGUGUUGAUUGCUGCUGCCAUGAACUGAAUCAACAUCCCAUCCCCUAAAACAAAUGCAAAGAAACUCAAUAGCAGUUCUCUUCCACCAUUCACACAAUGUAGAACACAGAACAAAGUCCAAAAGGCUCAGUUCAACUAAGUUGCACUUGCUAAAGUAGUAUAAGCUUAGCACUCACACUCCUCACAAUACCAUAAGUAGUCUUAGAGGAAACUACUUGGAGUUCUACUACGGCGCAGUGGAGGUGGGGAUCGUGUCCGUCACAUGAUACUGCAGGCACCGCUGUUCUCGUCGCUGCAGGUGUAGCACGAACAUGGCGAUGCGGUCGAGUAGAUGUAGCUGCUCUGCAGCAUUGGCAGCGCCGUGUAGUACGCUCCGCCGUGGCUCAUGCUCGGCUGCAUCGAGUUGUAGCUUACCAAGUAUGAUGGCAGCUGAGAUGUGGUGUACACCGGAAAAUUGAACGUUGGUGGGAUUGCAACACCGCCGCUUGCUCCUGCUUUCUUGCUGGCUUCCUGUGGAGCUACUUCGACCUCAGUCGCACUGCCGCCGCCGCCACCACUUGCGCUUCCGCUUUUGUUGUCGUUGUUGCUGUUGCUGUUUUCCUUCUGACCCUUCUUCCCCUUCUUCUUACCACCACCUUCAGUGGCGGCAGACUUGUUGCCCUCAUCCUCUUUCUCAGGUGGCGGAGGAGGCUCCUUGCUGCCAUUCUUGGAGGCUUCACUCUCUGGUUUAUCGGAAACUUGGGUGGAGUCAUCUUUGCCAUUAGACACUUGACUGUUAUCAAUGUUCUUUGAUGGCUCCAUGGGCUUGUUGUUCUUGCUCUUCUUGUUGUUGCUGCCGGCGUUACUGCCGCCACCGCCACCGGUUUCCAUGGGCUUCGUCUCGGGCCAGAGUUCAGCAUGUUUCCCAGCCUUGAGGAGCUUCUUGAUGAGGAUCUCAGCAGCGACGUUGCCGGUGACCACCACUUUGUGCUGCUGGGGGUCGACAGUCGUCUUGUAAACCCCUGAAGAACCUCAGGAAGAUACAUAAGUGGCUUUUGAUGAGGCAAGCGAGGGAAACAAGGGAGAGAACAAAGAGAUGGAGUACUCCAAUGUUACCUUCCAUGCUUUGUAGGACCUUCUUUACUUUCUUCUUGCAUCCUUCACAGUGGAUGGAGACCUUCAGAAUCAAAGUCUGGAGCAUCACCAAAAUCCAAAACUUUGCCUUCACUCCACACACACACACACACACACACACACAACCUUCACAGAAAGAGAGAAAAGCAGGGGACUGGGAAUAGAAAUGUACCUGAUAUUUCAGUGUUUCAGAACACUCUUUAGCUUCUGCCAUGAGUAAAAGUGGAGUUCCGAAGAAGGGUAUCAAGGAAAGCAGAGAUGGAAAAGGGAGGAGGGGAGCGCGAGAGUGAGCGUUGCUGCUGUGGAGGUGGUGAUCCUGGCUUCUAUCAUAGAGCUGCCCCCCAUGAUAAGUGGGUGCCAACAGCAGUGGACAGGAGAUGGUAGGCUUGUAACUAUUAAUCACUCGUAUCAUCUUCAGAUGAUGACAAUUACACCCCUGUAAAUAAGUGGAUGCUAGUCUGGGAUUUGAACCUGGGGGAGACACUGAUUCCUUUGAUCAAACUGGCUCAUGAACAGUGCCUCUCAUGUUCCGGUAGCCCUCAGAAGUUCCCAUAUUGUACCCAUUUGAUCUGUGACAAGGACCGAUGGUAUUCGGUGGCUGCAGGUUUCAUGAUAGUGACUUAAAUUUUGAUCAACCAUCUUCCAUCGUAUGCAACUGCAGUGGUUUGUAAAGGACAUGAUGAUGCUGUCACUCUCACUUCCUCUUCCCUGACAGCAUCCUCAGGAGGUGAGGAAGAUGAAAAAGGCCGUCUUAGGUUGGGAUUGAGCCUGUGACAAGGAAUUAGAAGAGGUUUAGGAGAGCUACAAGAGGCCACUAAAAGGAUAUAUUAACGAGGAAGAGACACCUUCAUGCUGUCUAAUGAUUUGUAUUAUAAAUAUUUUGUGCUCUGAAAAAUAUAAUGCCACCUGAAUUUAGAGUCAAUAUAAGCUUUACUUUUUGAAAAAAUAUAUAUAUAUUAUAAUUUGAUGAUUAACAGAGUAAUAUUAUCUUCUUUUUGGAAACAUAGUGUGCAAAUAAGAGAGAAAAUAACAGAGUUUUGUCUCUUAUGUAUAAAUAAAUAAUGUUUUAAGUCAGAGAUUAUACUGAAAAAUCAAGAAGAAAAAGGGUAACAGACGCACACCAUUAAUGACUUCCUUCUCACCAUUAUUGCAUAACUCCAUUCAUCCUCGCUUGCCUGCCAGAAAUUAAAGGAUCUGAGACUGUAGUUUUCAUACAUUGAAUCGCUCAAGGACGUGGUUGGUUGGUCGACAAUAAAUACUCACAUUUUAAUCUUGGAUCGAAAAGGACCCAUGACAAUUCAUGAUGCCCCAUUAUCACAUGCACCAUUAUGACCAACUAUUGAUGAUAAGUCUGUACUUUUGAUAAGUCUGUACUUUUGGCAUCAGUAAGGGAACCAUUUACAACAUAAGUCAUGUGAUUGUUGGAGCCAAGAAGAAGAUGCUGCACAAAGUUGUCCUACUGAUAUUGAGCAAUAAUGAUAGUUCAGGACACCGAGAUUUUAUCGAUAUGGGGUAUACGAAGGAUCAAUGUACGUAGUCUUCACUCUACUCUCCGAGCGCGAAAAGAUUAUUGUUCAUGGUCGAUGUCCUUAUCAUUCGGGUCGCAGAAAAGUAGCCUUAAAUGAGUUGGAACUUUGCAUUCGCUCUCUCUUCUCACUUAUGAGCUUAAUUCAUGGAGUCAUCCUGCUAUAGUUGUUACACUGGAAUACUUUAUGGAUUCCUCAUAGCCAUAUAUUAUUGUAUAGUGAUCAUCUUUGCUCGUUUUCUGAUCACAAAAAGGAAUUGUCUGUGUUGAUGCUAAUCCUAAAGUUGGUGAAACGGUGGUAAAUGUGAGAUUCAAAGUUUGUCAAGCAAGAAGGAACUCAAAAUAAAAGAAUAGAAGAUGAUGUCGCAUACAAAAAUUUGCUAUAGAGCUUGCUGAGUUCAAUGAACAAAACACUCGUCUUUUCUUCCUCAGACAAAUCUCAGCUCUCACCUUCUAAGUAAUGUUUGUAUCUGGUGGUAUUAGUGCUUGAAUCUUCUGAAUGGCACCAUAAAGAUAGCCACCAAAGCAUACAUUCACAACAAAAUAGAUUAGAAGAUUCAUGAUAUGUCAACCCCCUCAAUAAUUCUUAGAGUUCUUUGGCAGAGAUCAAGGGAAAUGCUUGGUUGCUUGUAGAACUGCUUCUUUAGGCACUAAUUGGUGAGCCAUUUGCGACGUUCAUCCUUAUUUAAUUUCUUAGAUGCUCAAACUAAGUUGCAGUAGCAGUGACUCUGGUUGUAACUACAGAAGAACCAGAAAUAACAAGGAAGCUUCAACAACUGACCUCAAUUUGUUUUAGAUAACCUACUGUCUACUGUUAAUCCCACUGUGGAUCGCCUUGCAGGAUGAUGACUCUUCUCUGAAGUUAAAGAGUGUUAUGUGUACCUUCAUUUCUUGCACAAAAGGUAUUUGGGCAUUCAUCAGCUGCUGCUACUGCAGUGGCAAUCAGCUUUUGAGCAUGCAACCAAACUCCUGGGUUGGCCUUUUGGUUCAGAAUACAAUUGGCUUGAUCUGGUGAAACUGUCACAGAUGGGGUAAUGAGUCCAAACUAAUCAAUCUACUUUUAUGAUCAGCCUGCCACAAUGCGUCUGUUCAAUCUUUACAAGGGACCUGGAAAGAGUUAUAUUAAGUGUAACUUUGUGAUGUAAUCAGUGACCAAAUACUAUUCAGUUUUAAGAGCAUUCUGUACAUGAUGCUUAGGAGGAAAUAGAUGACUGUAGAUUUUACUUAGGUUUCAUGUGCAGAUACUUGCUCAUCUCAUCCUUUUCAUCUGUAUCUCUGGCAGCUUUCAGUACUCUUUUGGUCUCAUGCACUUGUCCUAUAAUAUAUGGAGCCAAAUGCAGCAACUUUUCAUGAGCAAACAAUAGAAACUUGACAAGCCAAAUGGUGGAGAUUACACAGCAGUUAGUCAUGGUAAAAUUACAUGUAGUUUGGCACUUGAGGUUGCAAGUGGAUGCAGGUUUGUAGAGAUUGAAGCACUCUUGGAAACUCCGAGUGGAGCUCUUCCUCAGCUUUCUUAUCUUUUGCUGAUACCUAAAAGCUAAGCUUUGACACUAACUUGCACUUUCCAGCCAUAUCAGCUUUGAACUCAUUUCAAUGCUGCUGCAGCCUCACAUAAACUGAUAUCUCAGUAUUUUUCUUCACCUGUUUAUCAUCAGCUCCUCUUCUCCAAUUCUCAUUCUAGUCUUACAGAUAUUUAUAUGAUUCGACAUCCCUUAUCUGAGUUAAUAUAAUUAAUAAAAAAAUAUUUUUAAUUGCAUAAGAAUAAUUAUAAUAAAGAAAAAUAAAAUUUAUUAAUCAAAACCUAAGCCCAAAGCAUUUUAUUCCAUCUCUCCUAAAUCUGAAAAUUUUUCUUGCUAUCUAAACACCAAAAAUAUUUUUAUUUUUAUUUUUUACACAUCAUAGUCUUAAAAUACAUGUGAUUAUAGAGCAAUCAGUCACCAAUCUUAUUGAAAAAUCAAACUGAUCCAUCAAAAUUUCUGCAAGUAUAAUUAUUAUUAAUUUUCUCUUUUCAAUUACAUGUCAAUCUCAACACUUUGACACCAUCAAUCAGUCUUCAGACUUCGGACAAAAUGCCUUACAUGCCUUGUUCACUGAAUUUAUUCUGACAAGAAAGAUUGCAGGAACAGCUGAUUAGAUCUGCAACUUCAAUGCCCAAAUGCAGUGCAGGUUGUCAGUAAUGAAUGACUCUCUAGCUGGGCAGAUUAUUGUCCAUGAACUGUGAUCAAUGAGCUGCUAAGUUGCCAGUGCAAGAUUUUUUUUUUUUUUUAAUUUUAUUUUAAUGUGUUGCAAGUUCUAAUGGUGGGUAAUAGUUAGCUGAUUUGAGAGCAGAUUAUUCCCUGAAGAUAACUCCUACUGCCCCUUCCAUGAGCUUUAUGGGAUUAGAUAGAAUGAACAGAUGUUGUACUGCCUUCUGGUUUUUGUUGUGAUGUCUUGUGUUCCUUUUGAAUAAAAAAAGAAAGGAACACAGAGAUGAAUGGAAAAAAGAACAAAUAUCAAUUUCUGAAUUUUCUUCUCUUUCCGCACCUGAAUAAUCUCAUUACAGCUAACCCAAACAAAGAUUUAAGAUCAUCCAUAUGAAAGAUGACAGGCAUUAUUAAGCUAAGUAUUUUUAUUUACUUACAAGAUUUCAUGUAGGAAAUGUAGCGACAGAAUAACCAAGUCUUACACCACUUUUUCUUUGGCUGGAUGCCAAGUUUAUUUUAGGUGAGCUUAUCAAGUUCUUCAUGAAGCUCUCAGAACAUACAUAUUUUCUGCUUUUAAUUUAGUAAUUGUUCCAGAAAUGGAAACUAUUUUCUUCUUAUUAUUAAGUAAUUGUUCCAGAAACUGAUACUAUUGAUUGCCAACAGAUAAUAAAUACAUAAAUAGACUGUCAGGAAAUAUAUUGGUGUGUGAGAUGAAGAUGGAAAGUUUCGUAAAAGAAUAAUCUCUCUAAUGUUUUGGAUCUCUAAUAAUGAGCAUAAGAACAUGAUUGCCUAGGCCAGUAUGACUACCACCAUAGAAUUUAAUAGCAAACUAGUGUAUCCAAGCUUCCAAGACUAACUGCAAACACAAUUAUGUGCAUCCAAGCUUAUAACAAUUUACAGCUCAUCCAAAUUGCCAAGCAUCAAAUGCGACCAUCAAUUUUUCAUGACAGUCAUAUAUGAGAUAAUCAAGAGAAUAAUAAAUUUGACUCACCAAAGAAAUUAUAUUUUUGACCAUUUUGAGGUCAAAUACACAAACAGGGUUCAGUAAUGGUGAGAAAAAACCACAAAAUGUAGUGAUAAUUGCAUUGAGCAGGAUAACAGGUUGCCUGUGUGCACAUUCCCCAUCGCCUAAACUUUGUUGACAAUGACAUCACGAUACAAUACAAUGUGAUAUUAAACCAAAUAAAUACUGGUGGCAAACCAUUCAGCAAGUUGACAAAGAUGUCAGUUAAAUCUAUCAUCAAGGUAAAUUUUUACGUACUGCCAAAACACCUACCACCGCAGAUGUAAGAAGCAAAAAGAUGCCGUCUCUGGAUAGAGCAUAUUCUUUCCAUGUUAGAGGUCGACUGAUUUGGUUCAAAACCUUCUGGAAUUGUAGUCUUGUUUCUUCAAUUGUGCCAGAAUUAUCAAUGACUAUAUUUGCCUUGGUCUUCUUCUGGUCCAGUGCCAUCUGUGCGUUAAUUUUAUUUUUGGCUUGUUCUUCAGGUAUGCCAUCUCUUGCCAUUAAGCGUUUUAUCUGGGUUUCAGGAUCAACCCAUACAACAAUAACAGGAGAUGUUUGUUGAUCCAUUUUGGUCUCAAACAACAAUGGGAUGUCUAGAAUGAUAACCUUUGACCCUUUUAUCCACAGCUUGAAUACCUCCCAAAAGAUGCCCGAGGAAAUAUAUGGAGCCAAUAAACUGCAGGUAGGUAAAAAGAAAAAAAAAAGUUAGAUAAAUUCAUGUGCAGUUUUGUAUUUCCACAUCCUCUGAUUAAAAGGAAAGACCAACAGGAAAAUUGAUUAUUUUAGCAUAUGAUCAAGCUGCAAUCCAGCAACAGGAACUGCUAUUAAUGUUAUUCAUGAAGUUGGGCAAGGGGUAGUUAUAAAAGAACCAGGUGUUGAAUUUUACUUACUGUAUAACACAAACAACUAGUAAGAAUCAAUAGAAGUGUCAAAGCGUGAGCCAAUCCGUUCUAUAUACUAAUUAAAUCCUUCAAUCCUAGUUGAGUGGAAACAGUUUCCAGUUGUAAUGCUCUAUUUGAAGUCCAUACCGGUUCAGAAGUUGGCGUUUUGCUGGAUCUGUAAAGACAAUGUGACCUAGCCGUGCUCUAUCAAUUUCUCCAUUCUCUAGUAAAAUAUCGUUCCCAAAUGCUUUUACUACUUUCUUCCAACCACCCGUUCCCUUCUUCACCACAUCCUGCAUUGAAGCACCAUAAUUAUCUAGAUAUCAAACCAUAACAAUCUGAUAGUUGCUUCAGAAAAAUGCGAGAAUUAUAAAUUGUUGCAUUAGGACAAACACAAAAUAAUCGCAAAAUGGAGUUCCCAAAUGUAUCUAUAAGUAUGAUGCAACAAAUUGGAAAAGUAACGCACAAAAGUAGUUCGGUAGUACUUGAUCACAAAUGAUGAGAAGCAACAUAAGUAUAAAUUCUUCCAUGUAAGAACAACCUACCUACGCAAGUUCCAAACCCCCGAAUCCAAAGAUCAAUGUAAAUAGUUAUUUUGUACAUUGCUGCAGUAUAAGAAAAAUGAUCACAAACGUAGUUGAGGUUUAACUCGUCAAAGAUUUACAAUGUAAUCAUUGAACAAGAGAGGAAUGUGGUAGAUUCCGUGGGCAGGAUUGGGUGGUUGGAGCAGGCAAAUCAUUUUCUUUUGCAGUAUUAUCAUUUCAAUCACUAGUACAAAAACCACAAACAUGAAUACAUCAGCAAGAAUGUUAAGAUAAAGGAGGCCAAAACAGAAAAGGUACUCAAAGUUUUAACUUUGUGCAAAGUGUAGAAUUUUCACCGCGAGUUAAAGUAUAAUAGAGUUACUUUCACAUGUACGUUCAGCUCCAUUUUUGUCCUUUCGACAGACUCUAUGAUCGAUAAGAAUUAGUGACACAACUCCAAAGCCACAUGGAGUCCCGUACGAGCUGGCACCGAUGAACAAAAAUCAAUUUGCAACACACAGAAUUAAGUCAAAAAUGUUAUUUCUCACAUAUAAAAUUGAGACCAACUAUAGUUUUGGACAUCAAUUUCAUCAUUCAUUUAAGACCACAGCAAAAAGGGCUGUACAACGCACAGAUGAAACCCUAACUAAUGAAGAGAAAUCAAAUCCAGAUGAAACCAAUAUCAAUUUCUACACAGCAAAAGUGCAAGCGAUCGUAAUUUUUACAAAGUUUAUUUCCACAAUGUUAGUAGCCAACAUCGACAAAUUAGAAGCAAAACGAGAAAAUUCAGGAUCUUUGCAAAGGAAAGGAGUGGUGGAUGUGACAAAUGCUAAAUGAAUUUACCCGGGCAACGACGUCGGCGUCGACGACGGGAACGCCUUCAGAUAUGAACAGAUUGGAGACCGUGCUCUUCCCGGACGCGAUCCCGCCCGUCAGUCCCACCAACCUCAUCUCCUCUCCGCAAUCUAAUCCGACAGAGGGUAAAACAAGGGAAAUAGGAGAAGAGGACGACGAAGAGGAAGAGAGAGGAUUCGCCCCCUUCUGCCUCCUCCGCGCGAGUGGCACGAGUCGCGGAGAAUCCUCUUUCGGAGACCCGCUAUGGAUGCCACAAACAUCGCUUCCUGGUGAUUAGCAACUAACAUCGGGGUCCACCAGAGACCCGCAAUCGAUGCCAUUAGGGUAGAGGGAGGGUGAAAAGUGGUCGGGUGGGGAGUCAUGCCUCCACCUAGCGCUGGUAGGUGAGGUGGUGAGCCUUUUAACGGGUUGCUCUUUCGAGGCCAUAAGUGGGACCCUUUAGUGGAGCCAUCUCUUCCCCCAAGGCCAACGUUGGUAGAGAAGAGGGUGAUCGAGUAAUGGGUGAAUGAAUGCAUGGCUUAUCAAAAUUUUUAUCAACUAAAUUAAUUAUUAUUUUUUAAAAAUAUAUUAAAUACAAUAUUAAACCCUCCUUUAAAAAAAAAAAAAGAAUCUAAUACAUUAUAAUUAGAUCAAUAUUUAAUAUAUAAAAAUAUAUUAGAUAAGAUUUCAAACUUUUGUAAGUGAGUCUAGGACACUAAUAAAAUUUUAAAUCAAAAAAAUUAGAUAUAUCAUCAUUAAAUUAAUAUUUUAAAUAUAAAUAAUAUGUUAAUCGAAGUUUGAAACCCUCAACUUUAAAAUAUAUGGAUAAAAUUUCAAACUCCCAAUUUUGAUAAAAAAAAUUAAAUACAUAAUAUUAAUAUUUAAUUUUUUUAAAACUAAAUAUUAACUUUGAUAAGCUAAAACUCAAUUUUUAAAAAUUUAUUAAUAUUUAUAUACUCUCUGUUUCUAAGAUAAGCUAUGUGAUAUUAACCUCAACCUUUCUAAGAGGAUCUUGUUGUACCAUUACCUCUUUUACAUUAGCCCAUCAUUACAUCUAUUGGUAGCAUGACCUAUACGAUGUAGUUGUUACUUAGUAGAUACUUCUAACUAUGAUGUUUUUUAACACACCGGUUUUUAGCUGUAGGAUGCCCCAAACAAUCACCUUACAGCAGCUGUCGAUGGAGACAAAGCUGUCGGAGUUGCGUGUUUUUUUGGCUUUACAGAUUAAUGAGGAAGAAGAGCAGCUUUACUCGUUGCUUCUUCCUGCUGGGGUUAACGGACGCCAUGUCUGCGCAACAGCAGCAGCAAACAGAGCUGUUUGUGCACUCCAUCGGCAAACAUGGUUUUCCUGCACUCCAACUUGAAGGGAAAGAAAGCAAAGGGUCUUAUUCCAUGAGCAACGCUCCAAAGCGGAACACACACACCAAAGCGUUUCAGAGCCUCAAACUGACAGCAGCACUCAGACAACAACCCUCAGAAGAGCUUUGGGAACAGGAGUUCACUACGAGGUGGGCGUGCCGGUCGUCACCUUCUUGUACGCGGGCCGCGACGCCAAGCUCUCCCACCAGGCCUUCACAUGGGGGCGAGACUCGAACAGGGAAGCCUGGGGACCGGCUACGAUGUGGUGGGUGUAAGGAAUGUGGCUGAGGUCGGCGAAGCUGAGGAAGUCGCCGGCCAAGUACUUGGACUUGGACAGCCGGGCCUCGUACACGUCGAGCACCUUGCCCAGCUUCGCCGCGCUCUCCGCCACCACCUUCUCGUCCGGGACGCCGCCGAAGAAGACAGGUUUGAUCACGGUCUCUAUGUAGAUGGCGGAAAUCGCCUUGUCGUACUGCUGAGCCUCCACCUCCAGCCACACGUCCACCAUAGCCGACUCCUCCAGGCUGCCCUCCCUCAGCAGGUCAGGGCCCGAUGACUUGUACUUGCGCAGCACGUAUCUUGAGAUCGCUCUUGACUCUGAUCCCCCAAGUGUCAGCAAACGAAGGACGGGUAAAGAGAUACACACAGAAAGAGGGAUG
rnacentral:lncRNA from 1 species